AUGGAAAAGGUCCUCCUCCAUCUGACAAUCAACUACUCCAUUAUAAAGACUUGGCUAUUUUCUUCUUCGAGAAGGACAUGCGCCCUGGCGCAACAAUGAAGUUCCAAUUCCCUAGAAAUUCAAACACGGCUACUUUCCUGCCACGCGAAAGUGCUCAAUCGAUCCCCUUCUCCUCUAACAAACUAUCAGAAAUUUUCAACCAUUUUUCAGUGAAGCCAACAUCUGUGGAAGCCAAAACAAUUAAGCAAACAAUCCAAGAGUGUGAAGCUCCAGGCCUUAAGGGAGAGGAAAAAUAUUGCGCCACAUCUUUAGAAUCAAUGGUUGAUUUUAGCACUUCGAAGCUUGGAACAAGAAACGUUGAAGCAAUCUCGACGGAGGUAUUGGAAAGAGGAGCCACCAUGUCCAUGCACAACUAUACAACAAUGCCGGGACUGAAGAAGUUGGCAGGUGACAAAGUCGUUGUGUGUCAUAAGGAGAACUAUCCCUAUGCUGUGUUUUUCUGCCAUGCAAUAAAACAAACAGCAGCAUAUGUUCUCUCCCUGAAAGGCGAUGAUGGGGAGAAGGUUAAAGCAGUAACCAUCUGCCAUCUAGACACAUCAGAAUGGAACCCAGAGCAUUUGUCCUUCCAAAUCCUCAACGUUAAGCCCGGAACAAUUCCCAUCUGCCAUUUCAUUUCCACUGAUGGUAUUGUCUGGGUUCCAAAACACAAAUCUGCAUGAUCAUCACUUAGCACUGUACGUAUAAUAAGCUUGGUUGGGUUGCACCCUAGGCCUGUAUAAUUAACUCCCUACUUAUUUCUGCCUCUUUAGCACUGUACAUAUAUAGACUUCAACUUGUACUCGUAUAGCAUGCUGGAAAAAAAAAGGACCAAUAGGGAGAAAAUGGUGAACUAAGGAGAGACUAAUACUUCUGGUUCUUAGAAGGCAUAACAGAAAUAAUAGAGCACACUGCUUGAAUGCAAGUCAAUAUUGUUAGAAAAUUAGGAGAUUUACUUCCUAAUAUAUUAUGAUUCUAUUUAUUUCCUUUUGUAUUGAUAUUAUGUAAUUAGGACUUUAUCUUAGUUUCCUAGUAUAACCCUACUAGGGUUUGUACUCUUGUAUUAUAAAUACCUCCUUUUGGAGAAUGAAGUAUAAUCUGAAAAUAUUCUAUCCACUUUGUUUGACAUGGUAUCAGAGCAAACUUUUCUAGUGACCUGUGUGUUGUGCCAACCCGUAUUCUAGCCCCAUAUUUUUUCUCUACCUAUGCCGUGUGUGCCCCCCCUCUGGGUUUGUGGGUUGUGUUGUCGUGUUGGUGUCAUUCCUAUCUUCGUGCAUCUGCCGUAUUUGAGCCUUUGCUGUGUUCCGCUGUGUACUCUGUUGUGUUCAUACCUCUAUUGUGUUCGUGCCUGUCUUCGUGCAUCUGCUGUAUUUGUGUCUCUAUUGUGUUCCAUUGUACAAUCUGCCGUGAUCUGUUGAAUUUAUGAUGUAAUCAUAGGUGAUAACUCAUUUGUUGGUGUUGUUGUUGCUGUUUCUGGAAAUUUAUGUGAUUCAGACUCUAUUCCAUUUACUGGCUACAAUACUUAGAUAAUUGAUACUGGUACUUAUGAUCAUAUUGACAGGACUCGCCCCGAAUUUCCUGAAACCCGAGACGAAUUCUGUGGAAAUUCCUGACAUCACCCCGAUGUCGGGCCCACUUCUAAAACUAUAUCCUUUUUCCCCAAAAGGAAUAAAGGCAUAAGACUUUCUACCGAAAUUUCGGUAGAGUCUCCUAUGUAAAUUGAACAUUGCCCAAAAUUUUAACCUGCAUAAAACACAUUUUAUAUUACCCAACUGGCAGCAUGCAUAAAGUAAUAACAUGCAAUUCACAUAAACGGCCUUCGGCCUUCCGAUAAUUGGCAACAAACCACCAAGUACGCUAUCAAAUCAAUUUAUACCUUAAACAAGGCAAACAAUAAAUUCAAUCACACUUAAGAAUGUCAAAGCAAUCCACUACAUUUAAUUUUCUCAACAGCCAACAUACGAGGUUUUAACCUCCUAACACAAACACACUUCGUUCUCACUCAAAUAGCAGGACCAACUUCAAGGUCCGCAUCAUACUCAAUAAUACACAAGUAAAGUUUAAACCGCGGCUGCACCUAGGCACUACCCUAGGCUGCCUACGUACCCUUAUUGAGGGAUCAAGCCACACGUAGUUCUUCCUACUAAAUCCUGAUUUCCAAACACAUACAAUAAUACCUUUAUUCAUCUCUCUGUUAAUCACAUAAUCUUCCCAUACGCCGGAAAUUCCAACUCUACGUAUGGGGUCUGUCAUCACGCCGGAAAAUCCUACGCCACGUGUGACCUAACCAUCAUAUCAUCUCCCUAUACGUCAGAAAUUCCAACACCACGUAUGAGGUCUGUCAUCCAGUCGGAAAAUCCUACGCCACGGGUGACUUGACAAUCACAUAAUCUCUCCAUACACCAGAAAUUCCAACGCCACAUAUAGGGUCUGUCUCAAUGUCGGAAAAUCCUAUGCCACGCGAGACCUAACAAUCACAUAAUCUCCCCAUACGCUGGAAAUUCCAACGCCACGAAUGGAGUCUGUCUCAACGCUGGAAAAUCCUAUGCCACUCGAGACCUAACAAUCACAUAAUCUCCCCAUAUGCCGGAAAUUCCAACGCUACAUAUGGGGUCUGUCAGCAUGCCGGAUAACCUACGCCACGUGUGACUUAACAAUGAUAACAUCUCCCCAUACGCCGGAAAUUCCAACGCCACGUAUGAGGUCUGUCCUCACGCCGGAUAACCUACACCAUAUGGAACCUAACAAUCAUAGGGUGGUACUUAGGGUAGUGCGUAUAGCACUUCAAACCGACAUUCAAAACUCUAUUUAUACCUUUAUAAAUUUAUAUAAAAAUAUAUAUAUUAAGUUCUAAAGUUGUAUAAGCCUCAACCACAAUCUAGCAUCCGAUAAUCCCCCCCAAUUUAAAACAAUAAAUUAAUAUCAUAAACCCACAUAAUCAACAUAACUUAACAACGCUCAAGACCUGUCACUAGUGUCAUUGUAAUCCUCCUAGGAAGGUAAAACUACUUCGGAAGAGUCACGGUCAACUAAGGGUCAAACUACCCAAACUUGGUCAAAUGGGCCCACGGGCCCCACGACCUUCAAAUUCCGAUUCCAACCUACCGAAAUUUCUUAUGGGUUCUACAAGGUUUAGGACACUCGUCUUGCAAGUUUGGUCCAGAUCAGACGGUCGGAUCGCUCACGAUCGCACGAUCGGACGGUUACUAUAAACCUAGCCCUAGGGUUGGUAUUUUCGGAGUAUCCAGGACUCCGUUUUACGAUCCGUCGAAUCCUAUACGAUCUUGAGGAUGUCCAAACUAACAUAUAAUAAAUCUAUGACUAUCCAACGGCUCAAACCUAUUGAACCCAGAUAACGCACAAUAUGCGAAAUCUGUUCAAUAGUCAAACGACGUCCGAAUUGAGAUCCGCGAAAACCUACGCACUCGUGACAACUUGAGGACCUCAUUAGGACAAACUGUAGCUUCACCACCUUUGUCCACGCGCCUGCAGCGCAUGGGUGUGUAGAGUAAAUUCCGAUGAUGGAAAAACUCUACACCACCGCUCACCCUUCCUAUCCUAAAUACUACUCGAGGCAAGGAUCACUUCAUUCAACUACGGGGAGGUCCCAUUUGGACGGCAACUGGCCCAAAUUUCACUUUGAAAUCCGGCCAAAACCUAGGUUUUCAAAUCGGUUUUCUAGACAUCAAAUCGAUCCAAUCCUAUCCCAUAGACAGCUAGAGCUCAGAAAAUAGAUGACAAACCAUACCUCACCCGACGGAAUUGGUGGCUGGAGGAGAAAGAUUGAGCGAUGAGAAGUUCUGUCAAAACCGACUCGUUUUCGACUGAUUCCAGCGAGCACAGUUGACGAUGAUGGCUAAGACUAGUCGGGAAAAGACAAGGGAGAGGUGGUGAUUCGAACGGGACCGGUCUCGAGGCCAGUCGUUGACUGUGGAGGCUGCAAUAGCCUUGAAGGGUGGCGGCUGUAAAAACGAAGGGGAGGGGGGCUGUUCACGAUGGAGGAGAGAGAGAGAUAGAUAGAUAGAUAGAGAAAAAUCUGAAUUUUAUAAAAAUUCCAUUUUGAAAUAAUUACGAUUGUGCCACUGAGUUUCUUUUGACCGUAACUUCCUCGUUACAACUCCAAAUCAAGCCCACUAUGUAUCUAUGAACUCAUCUCGUCGAGCUCUACGCAACGGUAGAGCUGAAAUUCUCAAAUUUCUUCCUGAUCAAAAAGUCAACUUUAAACCCAAUAAAAUAUUCUAUGGGUAUAAUGGUCUUUUAUCUACAUAAAUUAAUAAUUUCCAAUUUAUUUAGGACCGGGUCGUUACACAUAUGACUUAUGAUGCUAUAUUUUUUUAUGAGUUGUCUAGUAAUACUCGUGACCCAUACAUAACUAGUGCUAAUGGCUUGCCCUAUCCAAUUACUGGCGAGGGCAUAAUCUCUCACUCCUACUCUGUCCUUGUCUCGUGUGUUACUCGUUCCCAAUAUCCAUUGUAACUUGUUGUUUGUUGGCCGAUUACUUGAUACACUUAAUGCUUAUGCUACUUUCUAUCCUACACAUUGCUCUUUUCAGGAUCUCAAGACUUGCGAGACGAUUGGGCAUAGUAAACGGAUAGGGGGCUUAUAUUAUUUGACAUUGUCUUCUGCACCAAUUCGUGGUUGUGUCAUUCAUACUGUUCAAAGUUGUAGUGUCAAGGACAAAUAACAAAUUUGGUUAUGGCAUCGUCGCUUGGGACACUCGUCGUUCGGCUAUCUUAAGCGUCUGUUUCCAUCUUUAUUCCGCUCUUGUGACGAGUCCAGUUUUAAGUGUGAGACAUGUAUUUUGGCCAAGAGUCAUCGCACUGUGUUUCUUUUAAGUGACAGUAAAGCUGCAAAACCUUUUGAUUUAGUAUAUUCGGAUGUAUAGGGACCUGCUCGUGUGACUUCUAAUGGUUUCUAUUGGUCUAUUACUUUUAUUGAUGACUGCACUCUCCCCAUAGUCCGGAAUUACCAACGCCACGUAUGGAGCCUGUACGCACGCCGAAAAAUCCUACGCCACGUGGGACCUCAUCAUCAUAUCACAUAGUCUCCCCAUACGCCGGAACUACUAAAGCCACGUAUGGGAUUCGUCUCAACGCCGGAAAAUCCUACGCCACGUGAGACCUUACAAUCACAGGAUGGUACUUACACAAUGUAAUCAAACCAUCUUUAUCUCUUUAAUAUAUAUAUAUAUAUUCCCAAUUUCCCCAAGUUUAAAACAAUAAACUAGUUCCUUAAACCCACUAAUUAACAUAACUCAACUAAUGAUCAAGACCUAUUGAAAGGACUCGCCCCGAAUUUUCUCAAAACCUGAGACGAACCCUUUGGAAGUCCUGACAUCACCUCGAUGCCAGGCCCACUUACUAAAAACCGAGACUUCCUGCCGAAAUUUCGGCAGAGUCUCCCCUAUAAUUUGGACAUUUUCCAAAAUUUAUACCUGCAUGAAAAUGCAUUUAAUAUUCCCAAUUGGCAGCAUGCACAAUAUAAUUUCAUGCAAUUCACAUAAAUGGCCUUCGGCUUUCCAAUAAUUCUUAACCAGUUACCAAACAAUUCAAAUACCAAUUAUGACUAACAUUUAGUCUACGGCUGCGCCUAAUAACCUUAGGCUGCCUACGUACCCUCCUUGAGGGAUCAAGCCACACGUAGUUCUUCCAUAAAACUCAAUUCCACACAUAGGUGAUACCUUAUUUCAUCUCUCUGUAUUUCACAUAAUCUCCCCAUACGCCGGUACAACCAACGCCACGUAUAGGGCCUGUCAACACGCCGGAUAACCUACGCCACGUGCGACCAUGCCAUACUAUCAUCAUAUCUCCCCAUACGCCGGUACAACCAAUACCACGUAUGGGGUCUGUCUCAACGCCGGAUAACCUACGCCACGCGAGACCUGCACAUCAUAUCACAUAACUCCCCAUACGCCGGUACAACCAACGCCACGUAUGGGGCCUGUCCCAACGCCGGAUAACCUACGCCACGCGGGACCUCAACAUCAUAUCACAAAUCUCCCUAUACGCCGGUACAACCAACGCCACGUAUGGGGUCUGUCGACACGCCGGAUAACCUACGCCACGUGCGACCUCAACACAAUAUCACAAUAGCUCCCCAUACGCCGGUACAACCAACGCCACGUAUGGGGCCUGUCUCAACGCCGGAUAACCUACGCCACGUGAGACCUAACUUUCACUUGGUGGUGCUUGUAGUGAAUCCAACAUCCAGGGAGGUACCUAAAGUAGUGCGUAUAGCACUCCAAACUGACAUUCUAGACUCUGUUGUACCCAUGUACAACCAUAUAUAAUUAUAGUUAUAUAAAUUAAUUCUAAUAUUGUGUAACCUUCCACAUUCAUCUAGCACCCGAUAAUCCCCCUUAGAAAGGUGAGAUUACUCCGGGAGACUCACGGUCAACCAAGGGUCAAACUACUCUAACUCUGGUCAACCGGACCUGCAGAACCCACGACCCCCAAUUUCCGAUCCGAAAGUCUCUAUGGGUUCUACCAGGUAUAGGACACUUGUCCUGCAAGUUUGGUUCAGAUCGGACGGUCGAAUUUCUCACGAUCGCACGAUCUGACAAUUAAUAUAAAAUAUAAACUUUAAAAUUAUUAAUCGAAACAUCCGGGGCUCCGAUUCACGAUCCGUGAAUUCCUACACGAUCCUAGAAUUACCUAGAUUAACAUAUAUUAAAUUUGGGACCAUCCGACGGUCCCAACCUGUCGAACCCGGAUAACGUACAAUAUACGAUCGUCCGUUCGAUAGUCAAACGACGUCCGAAUUGAGAUCCGCGAAAUCCUAUGCACUCGUGACAACCUAAGGAUCUCAUCGGAAUACAGUGCUACUUUUUCUACAGUGCCCAAAGCGAUAACGCUUCGCCGGAAAAUCUCAACAUCACGGCUCCAAAAUUCCUACUCUAGGUAUAACACCCUAUUUGGAGCCACUUUUGUUCUUGGACCUACCCCAAAAAGUGGCCGAAAAUGGCCGAUCACGGCAGCCGAAGUUUCGGCCGAUUUUCAAUUCGAAAAUCGAGUUGUCUACGCUAAGAAUCGAUCUAAUCCUACCCAACCAUCAGCUAGAGUAGCUCGAGAGGUUCAAAAUCCAUACCUGGGUCGACGGAAUUGGUGGCCGGAGGAGGGAGAUCGGCGGCUUUGAAGUUUGGACGACGUCGGCCGCUUCAUCUCCAGAUUCCGGCGAAUCCGCGGCGGCUGGCGGCGGGAGGUGGCUGGGGUAGGAAGAGGACGACGGCCCGGUCAUUUUGGUACCGGUCCCGUCGUCAUUGGUGGCCGGAGGAGAGCACGGCCGGCCAAAACGUGGCCGGCGGUCGUCGCGCGCGAGAGAGGAGAGAGAGAGAUCGCGCGGAGGAGAGAGAGAGAGAGAGAGAGAGAGAGAGAGAGAAAACCAGAUUUUUAUAAAAAAAAGUCCCAUUUUGAAAUAUUUACGAUGUGCCACUGGGCUUCUUUUGACCAUAUCUCUCUCGUUACAACUCCGAUUCAAGCCCACUACGUGUCUAUGAACUCGUCUCAGUACGACCUAUCCAAAAAUACAAGUCACGGUCCCAAACUCUCUCCGGUUAAAAAUAUGACUAAAAUACCCUUAAAUAAUGAAAUAAUUAAAUAAGGGUUAAAUUUGGGGUCGGGGUGUUACAUCUAUCACCAGGAUCAUUAUAAUCCUCCGAGGGAGGUGAAACUACCUCGGAAGACUCACGGUCAACCAAGGGUCAAACUACCCAAAUUUAGUCAAACGGGCCCACGAGACCCGCGACCUCCCGAUCUGAAAGUUCCUAUGUGUUCUACAAGGUUUAGGACACUCGUCAUGCAAGUUUGGUCCAGAUCGGACGAUCAGAUAGCUCACGAUCGGACGGUUAUUAUAAACAUAAACUUUAAGUUAUUAAAUCGGAACAUCCGGGGCAAAGAUUCACGAUCCGUGAAUUCCUACACGAUCCUAGAAUUGCCUAGAUUAACAUAUAUUAAUUUUAAGACUAUCCAACGGUCUGAACAUGUCAAACCCGGAUAACGCCUAAUAUGCGAUAUGCGAUAUCCGAUCGAUGAUCAAACAAUAAUCAAAUUCAAAUUCGAGCAUACCGUCACGCUCGAGACGACGAGAGGGUUAUUUUAGAACUCUAAGACAAGCCACCACAUGGCCCACGCGCUGACAGCGCGUGGUUGUCUAGAGAAAUUUCCAGCGGCGGGAAAAACUCCAAACCGCCAGCCAAGACUCCCAGGUUAGGUAAAUCACAUGUAGUGGAACAACUUUUGUUCUUGGACCUACCCCAAAAAGUCGACGGAAGUGGCCGUCGGAGGCCGAAACUGGCCUAAACUUCUAUCGCUUAAUUGACAACCAAAAUGCAGCAAUUGAUCCUAAAUAACCCAACCAGCAGCUAGAUCAGAUUGAGGGGAUGGAAAAGCAUACCUAGAUCGCAUGAUUUGGUUACCGAAAACGUCCGAACGAGCUUCCGAAAAAUCCGCAAAAAACCUUUCGGAUUUCUGCAAUUUCCGGCCAGCACCAGCAGUUCCAGCAGCUGAGGUUGGUCGGAAAAGGAAGAGGAGGUGGCAGCGGUUUGAACAGGUCCGGCCUCGUUGCCGGUGGUGAUCCGUGGUGGCAACUGUGGCUCUUGGAAGCCACGGCUGUGCAGAAAAAUGAAGGGGGAGGGGGCUGCGCGCGUGGGGAGAGAGAGAAAGUGAGAGAGAAUCAGAUUUAUCAAACCUUUUUUUGCCAAAAGUACGAGUAUGCCACUAAGGGUAAUUUGAUCGUAUCUUCUUCGUUACAACUCCGAUUCGAGCCCAUUACGUGUCUACGAACUCAUCUCGCUGUGCUUUACACAACGGUACGGUUGAAAUUCCCAAAUUCCUUCCCAGUCAAAAAGUCAACUUUAAACCUAAUAAAAUAUUCUAUGGGCAAAAUGGUAUUUUCUCUGAAUAAAUUAGUGUUUACUAAUUUAUUUAGGACCGGGUCGUUACAAUACCCAAAAAUUUCCUGUGUCAGAAUCAACACAUGGCAGCAGAGAAAGAAAGGGGAAUAGGACAAAAUAGUUGGUUAUCCAGCUGGAAAUCCUACAGAGCAAGGAUGACUAGUUAUACGAGAAACAGAUGACUAGUCAUCAUUUUAUGAAAUCAAUUUAAUGCAAUGUGAUGGAAUGCACAAUUUACCUUUGUCAAUUUGCUUGAACCUCUAUACGAUAGUUGUUAGUUAAGAACACCUAGAGAAACUAUUCUUAAUCUAAACUUGAGCUUGAUAAAAAUAAUAAAAAUCUUAUUACAAGAUUAUCAAGGAAAGUGUUGUGUCUACCCAAGUGCAAGUAGUCACACGUAGUAAUAAUCUUGGAAGUCCAAGUAUCGUAUCCUCAAGGAGCAGGUAGGCAAAUAUCUGCACACAAAGAAAUAAUUAAACAUACCACAAUAAAAGUGACAAGCAAAAUGGAAAAGUUAUUUAUUUGAUUGUUGUGAAAAUUGAAUUUAAAAAUGAAAUAUCAAUAAUGGAAAUGCUAAGGCAUCAAGGUUCAAUUCUUUAAACAAAAUAUGUUUCAUGCUCUUUACUCCAGAUUAUAACUCGAUUAAAAUCAUCAUCGAGAAACUUUAACCGGAAGAUAAAGAAAUUAAAACCAAUUUAAUUUUUCAAUGUAAUCUUUUAUUAAUGAUUGUUCAGAAAAUGGAAUUGCUUAAUAUCUACUCUUUUAAUUUAAAAGCAUGCCAAGUCAGUUCUUAACAAUGAGAAAAAUAAAAUUGAACUCAUGAAAAGGUAAUAGCACUUAACAUCAAUCAAAAUAAAAGGAUAUGAAAAUAUUGAACAACCAAAAAUAAAAGAAUUUAGCAAUUCAUACCGUAUAUUGGAUUAAAGAACAAUUCACAAACUUACUUAAAGAACAUUCCCUUUAGCCUUAGCUAGAGUUCUAGCAACUCAAUUACAAAGGAAAACAUAAACUAAAUGGAUAAAGAAAUCAGUCAUAGUGGUGCCCUUGCCAAAGAAGUUGAUGGGUAAUUUAUAGUGAAUGAGGUGAGUGGGAAGUUAAUACAUGGGUAAUGAAGGGUUUAAGUAAGGGAUUAAUUGGAUUAAACAUUGGUUGAUGGUGGAGAGUUAGUGGAAAAGAAAUAACGGUGAGGUAAAUAGGCGUUAAAUGGCUAUGAAUGACAUGAAAUAGGCUCUUUAGCUUCAACGGUUGUGUCUUCUCUUCUCCCUCUUUACUUCUCUUUAUAAUCACAAUAAUCCAACAAUCAAUUCUUCAAUAAAAUCCGCCAGCAAUUCUCUUCACACCUAGCUUGAACUUGGACAAAUGUAUGUCUUCAUCUUUUGGCUUUCUAACUUCCUACCGAAGAUAAAUUCACCUAAUAAGUUCACCAAAUUAAUAUAGAAAAUUCAUAAAUCCAGUUGAUGAGAAUAAAAUGUAACAAUAAGUGAAAUUAUAUUUAUUAAGUCAAAAUUAUAUCAUAAAGUCUCCAAAAUAAUAUUAAAAAUAUAUAAUUUAAGACUCUCAUCACAAAGCCAAAAGAAAAACUCAAAAUGCAUACAUUAACAGUUUUGCCAUAUUGAAUUAAUGUCUUCUAGCUAUGUACCUUAUCUUUUUGCCGGGCCAUGAGUUGAAUGUAGAGGCAGAGCAUGGACUUGGGUCAAGUUUGACUUGUAAAAUAAUUAGGAAUUGAAUGGCUCCUACGUUCAAUUAUUUUAUUAUUAUUAUUAUUUUUUGUCCGAGCCAUUCAAUUCCUAAUUAUUUAGAUUUUUGAUCUAGUUAGCAUCCACAAUCAUGCUCUCUAUUUUUUUUUUUUGGUCAUAAAUGCCAUAACUCUUUUUUUAUUGGUCCAUCUCUAUUAAAAAAUAAAAUAAAAAAUAGUUAGCAUUAAAUAAAGGUUUGAAAUUCUCAUUAAAUAAAGCAGCAUUAAAUUAUAGGGAGCAACUAGGAGUCAUUUCUCUCUCCUCAAGUUUAGGAGCUCCUACAGGUCUCCCUAUUUUAGGAGGUAGAUAGGGAGCAUUGUUGGAGUUGUAUUUUUACAAUUUCUCCCUAAAAUUUGUCUAAGGAUGUGGUUUAGGGAGCCCAUUGUGGAUGCUCUCAUCUCAAGGAAAGAAAACCCCAAGUUUGCAAGUAAUUUUUCUACGUAUGUAUAUAUGAAAAACUGACAUUUAUGAAAAUAAUAAACCCAUAUUUUUAUGUAAGCCAACUUUCUAAAUUCAUGUACUGAUAUUUAUUAGGGAAAUAUUGGAGAAACUGAUUAUUUUGAAAAAUUAAAUGUGAAAAACUGAACAAAAUUUUGACGGGUUACAUAUGUCAACUCAUUCAGCAGCUUAGGUUGUGAAGACCUAAGCAACAACCCUAGUGCACUGUCGAUCACUUCAGUGUCUACCGAUUUUCCUUUCCAUAUUGUUAGAUUAUUCCCUGCUGUAACACUUGCAUUUAGAAAAUAAUAGUACAGCUCUUAUUAGCAACAGUUUUACACACUUGCAUGAAUCUCACUAUGUUAAAGCAAUCACAUAGCACACCUUUAUUGAAAACAAAGCUAGCCCUGAUCCACUCCUUUACAUACUUAAAAACAAAACAAAACGAAAAAAAGAUAGGGAGAAAAUGGCUACGGACUUACUGCCGACAAAAAGAGAUAAUAGCGAACACUGUUUGUAUGACAGUGAGUAUGAGAAGAGUAACCGCUGCAAAGAGAGAAAAAGCUGCCCAGGCCCAGGGUGAGUUGAAAUACUUUUGGCUCAAAUAUGCCAACCAUCUGUUCCUGCACUUCUUGCAGUACUUGUUUAGAUUGUCAGCAAGACCACCAAAAUAGAAAUUUUGCUGGUCCGGAGCAACCCCCUUGCAAAGUUGGUUAAUCAUAGUAGAAACCUUAUUGUUGUCACCUAGUGUGUUUACAACAAUUUCACUCUCAACAAGUAAAUCUACAUCCCUUUUGGUUUUUACAAAUUUAUCCAGGAGGAAAACAUAAUCGCUUAAGUAAUUGUCUGUGCAAUGGCAUUGUUCAAAGGCAAUGAGAUUUCUGAGUAUAAGCUCUGUGUCAUCACGUAUUUCUAGUUUUGGAAUUUUCAGAGUUCCAUUAUGGAACUGUAUCGCGAAUAAGUCGUUGCUUGACUCCAGACGACUUGAUUCCGGACGAAACUUAACUCUGGCCUGGUGUAGUUUUGUCACGCUGGGUAUACAUGGGAGUUCUCCAGCUUCUGAGGUACCGGUAUCCAAAUAUUGCACAUGUAAAGUUCUAAUAAAAUCAACAAAAUGUAAAGGUGGUUCAGUCCCCUCCACUUCGUCUUCCGACCUCUGUAAACCCACUACCUUUUUGAAGAAAUGGUAAGAGAGCUUAAUCAUUGAAGGCCUCUCAGUCUCAGAAUUCUUAACUCUGACUUUGCUUGCAUCGAAAAGAUCCUCAAGAAUGAAAAAUGGCAGCUAAUUUUCGGGCAAAAGCAUGUCGGGCACUAUAUUUGUUAACAUUUAUGGUUUUUUAAAUAUCCAGUCAUUAUAUCGUCUCGCAAUUCUUGGAAAUGGUACCUCAACAAUAGCUCAAUGACAAAGGCAGCAUCAACUAGAAUGAUACUUACAAACUUGUCGCUACUCUUGAAGUGCUGAGCGUUUCCAUAACGACCACGGAGUUCAUCUUCUUGGGCCUUUAUUUUCUCUGCAUAAUCCUUCAAGCUAACCUUAUUAUUCCGAUGAAGAAAAUUUUGUAGGUACCUCGGUUUGUACUCUUCCAUGGCUUCUAAUUCUUUGUUGUCAUGGUGAAUUGGGCCUAUUGAGACUACUUCCGGGGUGUAAGCGUUAUUUCUGCCCCGUAGUCACGAAGGAACCCUGUAGAUACAGCACUCAUCAGAGGGCCUAUUGAGACAAACUAUCCAACCGCCGCUUCAAAUCUGCUACUGGGGUUUUGUGGUUUUCUACGCCAUGUGGAGCUCCAUUGCUGCAUCCUUCCACUUCUAUUAUGUGUUGUUCUGAUUGUAAGUGAUGAGGGUUAUUGGCACCAGGGGCGGAUCUAGCCCUUUUUUGGCUAGGCAGCCACCCAGUCGAGAAUUUUCAUAAAAACAAAAUAGGUACGUAUUGUUGUAAAUGUAUGAGUUGGUGGAUGACCACCAUACCUCUUAGCAUUCACCUUUUCUAAUUCUAUGUAACUAUACACUAAAUGCCAUAGUUAUGGACUUGUAACUUAUGAGUUGUUAAUGUUUUCUUACGUGUAAGCCUAUAAAUAAGAGGGCUAUCUUGGCAUAUGUGUUCGUCACUAACUAUAUAAUUUAAGUUGUUUUCAGUGACUAAUUUAAAUAAUUGUCAGAAAAUUUGGUCAUUAAAAAUUAAAAAAUAAGGGUCAAUUAUUUUAGUGACCAUGAAGUAUUAUUAGUCAUUAAAUUCAUUGUAUUUGUGACCAUUAUUUAUGUGGAAUUGGUCACUACUGACCUUUUUUCUUGUAGUGUACAUUCUUGCCUUAAUACAGUUAGGCUUAUUUUUAUACUAAUUUCUCUAACAUAACUUUUGCACAUUCUUUUUAUAUUAUAAUAAAUAAUCUUACCCAGUUGAGUUAUAAACCAUUUUCUUUUAGCACGGAAAAUCGACAUUUUGACAGAGAGUUGAAAAGCACUCCCCAAUUUUAAUGUCAACCACUUGGAAAAAAAAAACAUAAAUUUAAUGACAACAAUUACAUUUAGCAAUGCAACCUAAAAACUCAACCUUUGCGCUCCUUUCACCACGCAGAUAGCAGGGUGAGGAUAUUCGAAUAAGAACGAAGACAGAAGCUAAAGGAAUUGCGAUAGCUAACCAUAGUCUGCAUUUCUUACCAUCUGAACAAUGCCACCAUUUUGUUUGGUAAGUAUUUAAUAACAUUUCUUGCUCUACAUAAAGUAAUAUUAAAGCGAAAUUUCCCUAAAUUUUUCUUACCAACAAUCCAUACCCAAGAAAAGGGGAGAUUCACUAUUAUACUCAAUAUAGGAGCCCAACUUAUUUAUAAUAAUUAUAAAAAAAAACCCUCUAUGAAAUGGACUUUAGAAACACACCUAAAACCUAUUUACAACAAAACAAAAAGACUUUUAACUUUUUUUAAAUUACAAAACUGUCAUUGAUUUCUUAAACAAACCCAACCCCAAAACCUCAUAAAAAAGCCCAAAUACUCAAUAAAGCAGCAAAGUAAUUUAAUAAUAAAAAUUAAAUUCAAUAGAGUCAGCUGUUAUUUUUUGGGUUAUUUUUUAUUUGUUUAUAGAAAUUAAAGAGUGCUGCUAAAAGAACCCUAACAUUAACUAAAUACACCAAAUGAUCUAAGUACACCCUAAUAUUUUAAUUAAAAUACAAAAUUAACUAAGUACACCUUAUUUAACUACCAAAAUUACCCGUGUUACACCCUAAUACACUCUAUCACUGUUCACCCGUUUAGUUUUUGCUCCUGUGAUGGAAGGGUAAAGUUCCCCACUGCCUUGGAAACCAUUGACUGGUCAACAAGUCAGCUUUCUUUGCUAUGUGAGCGUGCCACUGUUAGCAAUGAAAAUCCUAACAGACUUCUUAAAAUGGAUACUUGCGCCCAAGUUACUGAUUUCUAAACAGUGAUUGUGAUUUGGGUGAGGAAUAUCUCCAAGUAAGUUCUUUUCCUGCAUCAGGCUGGUGAAGACUUUAUAAUUUUCACAGUAUAAAUUGGUAGUUCUUGCCAGAAUAGAUGAUAUAAAGUGGACGGUUUUUAGGCAGAACUGCGUUUUACAAAAUUAAGAAGGAAAAAUCAACUCUAAAAAGACAAAAAGAUGGCUGGAAUCCCACUUCUGCCUGGGUAGAAACUUCAGAUCCGGGCUGGACCGAAUACAUUCAUGAUGGACUGAGCUGUUAACAACUUCAAUUGCUUAGCUUUAGCUGUAAAUCGAUACCAAAGUUCAAUUUUGGCAGAGCUUUAAUCUACUUCAAGCCUUGGAAGGCUUUUGAGCGGGCAGAACUGCCGUCUCUUCUGGCUAAAAGAGGCAGAAAUGGCUGAAUUUGAGGUUUACUGAGCUGGAACUGCACUGUUGUACCUGUUCUGCUUGGUCAGGGCUUUCCAUAAAUUUGUUGAGGUUUUCAUAUUUGUGAAAAACUCAAACUCUGCUUGUUUUGGCUUUUGCUGAACCAAAUUUGUAACGAGAGAAGUCUUGUUUUGAAUGACUUUUCUCUAAGUUUGAGCUUUUGAAAUUCUAGGAGAGAGAGAGAGAGAGAGCUUUUGAUUGCUCCAGUUUGUUUGAAGGUUCUCAAUGAUCAAGUGAUCAUUUUGAGUUUUUGCCUUUAGCUUAUUUUUGGUUGUUUGUUUGAUUAUCCUUUGCUCUAUUCACCUUCUCCUAUAUUUAUAAGAAAUGCUUUGAAGUAGGGUUUCUUUCUUUUAAUAAUGGGCGGCCAAAAUUCUCAAAAGGUCUUUCAUUUUUUUAAAUACGAAGAAAAAGGGGUUUUCUCAAUUUUGGCAAAUAAGUUCUCAACAGUCAAUUCCAUUGAAAGAGAACCUGACUUUUCUUUAAUUCCCAACUGCCCUUGUGAGAGCUCAAUCGUGAUGGUCAGUUUGCUUCUCCAUUUUGAACAACUUCCUGUUUCCUGUUUAUCUUUUUAGAAAAUACAAUCUGGGUAUCCCUUGAAAGAUGGUGCCUUUUUUGGAGUAGAAACAAUGUCUCUAAAUAUAAAAGGGUUUUUUUUUUAUCUUUUGGUGGCAAAGAUUUCAAAGACGUCCCUUCUUUUCGCCUGCCUCUGUCAACUUUUUAUCAACCCAGUUGAAAUUGUUGACUUUCCUAAAUCAAAAAAAGAGAUUCACGUGGGUCUGUUCCUUUUGGCUCCUUCCUCUCUUUUAAUCAUGCCUAACCUCUUUUGAUUUUACUGGAGCCAUGGGCUGAUUGCUUCUCUUUUCGAGGCCCAAGUUUAUUUGCAGAGCCCAAACUGCUUGGGCCCUGUGGUUUUGUCUUUGUUGUUUUUGGGCUUUUUAGGCUGGACGUGCCAAAAUUAGGCCCAAACAAUGUCCCCUAAGUUUGAAUCGUUUCUAGAACGGUUCGAGAUUUAAUGAUUUUGGCCAUUAAUUCGUGCGCGCCAACUUCUUUCGUUUAAUGCACGUCUGCCUACCACGAGCUAGACUUCAUGGGAAACUGUUUUGUUACUAGCUAGUUACUUAGCUAGUUAUUAUCAUAUGGCGUCUCGUCUUCCUCUUCCCACGAUUUCAAGCCCCUUUUUUAAGAAAUUCGAAACUCCAACUUCUGUUUAUUUCAAAAACUAGCUUCUUUUUAGACCUCGACAAUUCUUAGUUUUCCCCAGAAUUCUCACUUUUUCUUCGACCAGACUCUGCCUUUCUUAUCAUUUCCUUUCCUAGUUCAACACUUCUGAUCAUGUCUUCUCCCAAGACUCGUGCUCAAGGUUGGUCCUCCUCAGUUCCUCCUAAUUACAUCACUGGGACUGGGAUUGACAAUCACGCGAUAGAGGUUAGAAGCAAACUGAUAGGACCCGCCCCGAAUUUUCCAAAACCCAAGGCGAAUCCUGUGAAAUUUCCGACAUCACCCCGAUGCCGGGCCCACUUACUAAACACCGAGACUUUCUGCCGAAAUUUCGGCAGAGUCUCCCCUAUAAAUUGGACAUUUCCCAAAAUUUCAACCUGCAUAAAAACACAUUUAAUAUUCCCAACGGGCAGCAUGCACAAAAUAAUUUCAUCCAAUUCACAUAACGGCCUUCGGCCUUUCAAUAAUUUUCAACAAACUACCAAGCACACUAACAAAUCAAUUCAUGCCUCAAACAAGGCAACCAAUAAAUUCAAAUAUGCAUUAUGACUACCAAAUUUCGACAUGCAUCAUUUUGCUUUUCCAAUCUCAAUAGAUGAGGUUUUAACCUCCUAACACAAUCACAUCUAUGUUCGCGGCUGCACCUAAUAACCUUAGGCUGCCUACGUACCCUCACUGAGGGAUCAAGACACACGUAGUUCUUCCUUAAACCCAAUUCCACACAUAGGCAAUACCUUUAUUCAUUUCUCUGUAUUUCACAUAAUCUCCUCAUACGCCUGUACUACCAACGCCACGUAUGGGGUCUGUCAACACACUGGGUAACCUACGCCACGUGCGACCUCACCAUAUUAUCACAUAAUCUCCCCAUACGCCUGUACUACCAACGCCACGUAUGGGGCCUAUCGACACGUUGGAUAACCUAUGCCACGUGCGACCUCAACAUAAUAUCACAUAAUCUCCCCAUACGUCAAUACAACCAACGCCACGUAUGGGGUCUGUCUCAACGCCGGAUAACCUACGCCACGCGAGACCUGAACAUCAUAUCACAAUAGCUUGCCAUACGCUGGUACAACCAACGCCACAUAUGGGAUCUGUCGACACGCCGGAUAACCUACCCCACGUACGACCUCAAUAUAAUAUCACAUAAUCUCCCCAUACGCCGGUACAACCAACGCCACGUAUGGGGUCUGUGUUAAAGCCGGAUAACCUACGCCACGCGAGACCUGAACAUCAUAUCACAAUAUCUCUCCAUACUCCAGUACAACCAACGCCACGUAUGGGGUAUGUGGACACGCCGGAUAACCUACGCCACGUGCGACCUCGAUAUAUUGUCAGGUAAUCUCCCCAUAUGCCGGUACUAUCAAUGCCACGUAUGGGACCUGUCCGCAAGCCGGAUAACCUACGCCACGUGGGACCUAACUUUCACAGGGUGGUACUUGUAGUGUAACCAAAAUCCGGAAAGGUGCCUAGGGUAGUGCGUAUAGCACUUCAAACUGACAUUCUAGACUCUUUAUACCUUUACAAACAUAUAUAAACAUAUAUAAUUUAAUUCUAAUUGUGUAAACCUCAACAAUAGUCUAGCACCCAAUAAUCCCCCUAGGAAGGUGAGACUACUCCGAAAGACUCACGGUCGACCAAGGGUCAAACUACCCUAACAUUGGUCAAACAGGCCCACGGGGCCCACGACCUCCAAAUUCUGAUCCGAAAGUUCCUAUGAGUUCUCCGAGUUAUAGGACACUCGUCCUGCAAGUUUAGUCCAGAUCGGACGAUCAGAUCGCUCACGAUCGCACGAUCUGACGGUUAAUAUAAAACAUAAACUUUAAAUUAAUAAAUCAAAACAUCCGGCACUCCGAUUCACGAUCCGUGAAUUCCUACACGAUCCUAGAAAUACCUAGAUUAACAUAUAUUAAAUUCAAGACCAUCCAACGGUCCCAACCUAUCGAACCCAGAUAACGCGCAAUAGGCGGUAUCCGUUCGAUAUUUCCCUUUAAUAAUUUAAAUAAGGGAUUUAAUUUGGAGUCGGGGUGUUACAAUCUACCCUCCUUAUAAAAAUUUCAUCCUCGAAAUUUCAUACCUGCUAGAAGAGGAAUCUGCCAGAACUGACUUUAGGAAGAAGUUCCUGAGUGUCACUCUGCCAAGAGAUCUGCCCCACGGAGGUGGGAAGCCUCCAAACUAUCAUUUGGGAGCAGAAGUCUAUCAUCGCAACUUCUGUGCAAGGCAACUUGGCUGCCCCAGCUUAUUCCACUAAAAUCAUACAGAAGCUGCAAUCGGGCCACUUCCUUGAGAGAUGCGGAUGAUCUGGAAGUGCACAAAGAUGCUAGAUGUGCAGUAAACAAGAUAAAUAACAGCGCAGAUGCCCUCUAUCCAGCCUGGGAACUGAACUCCUGCAGUUCUGCCGAUUUUGACGCUUGGUGGAAAUCCAGGUUUCAUGGUCUGCCAGCCUCCAUUGCUGCACUCAAGGUGAUUUUUGAGGGCUGGGACUCCUGGACUGUCUACGCGGAGGUGGAUGCCAAGAACUUCAUGGUGCAGACCAUCAAAGACAUUAAUGCCCAGGGUAUAGAAGGUAACUUUCAAUUCUGUCUGUCUUGCCUAUUCUGUCUCUUAGUGAUGAUGCCUAACAGUUUUGUUCUGUAUAUAUCAGACCCUUAUUUGACAGAAAACAUAGGUGGACAGUCUGUCCAAGCUGGAGAUGUGAUUGGUAAGUUUUUCACUAUUCUGUUCCUUUCAUUAUUUUCUUGCUUGAUUGACUUCUGACUUUGUCUAUUUCUUGUGUAGUCAUUGCUGUCAUUGCUGCUGGGACUUGGAGCUUCCCUCUGGAGAUGAAGAGGAUCUAGCUGCUGAGGCUAUUCCUUUUGGCAGAACAUCCAGCUGCUGAGGCCAUUCUUUCUAGCAGAAGGAAGAGAAAGGAAAUUUCUUCUGCCCAGCACAGUGCUGCUCAGCCUGCGACUUCAGGUAAGUUCUGACAGUUUGAGCUUUUCGUAAUUCUAUUUUGUCCUAUUCUGCCUUAUGUUCUAAUGGUUUAUUGUCUGCUUAUUGUAGCUGAAAGUUCCUCUCCUCCUCCUACUAAGUCAAAAAGACUUAAAAAGAGGACUGUGGUGGAAUAUAUGGCCAUGGAGGAGUCUGCAGCAGUUCCCACCAACACUUCUGGGACGGAUGAAGAGCUGAGAGAGGCCUUCAAGACAGUGGAAUAGGAGAAAGAGCUAGAAGAAACAGAAGAAGAACCUCAAGAAAAGGCAAAAGAAAUGGAAGAAAAUGUGAGUAUUGUUUUCUGGCUAUGUCAGCUUUUCUUUUGUUUCUUCAUUUCCUCUGUUCUGACUUCUGUCUAUGUAUAGAAGGAAAUCCCCGCUGAAGUGAUUGCAUAGAGCAUUGCUUUGGCGCAGAGGCAGCAGGAGAAUCAAAGGGCAGAGCUGACCAGCUCGGAGUUGGCCCUUUUUGAAGACGCAGAGGCAGAACACUCAACUGUUGUUCCAGCAGCUGAGGAGCAGGUGGAGCAGUCUGCAUCAGAGCCUGUGGAGCGAGCAGAACUACCUGUUGCAGUCCCAGCACCUGGAGUGGAAGUGGCUGCUGUUGUUCCCGAAGUUGUGGUAAUUUUUAUUCUACUUCUGUCCACCUGUUUCCUGCAAUUCUGUUCUGUCUGUGCUUCCUUAUCUAUUAGUCUUUUCAGGUAGAAGUGCCUAGGCCUGCUGGGGUUUUGGCAGUGGUGACCAGCCCCUUGAAGCCUCUCAUCGUUGCUGUAAGUGUUAAUGCAUUCCUGGGCUUUUUCUUUUCUGUCUCUGCCUAGUUCCUACUCUUGUUCUUUUCUGCAUAUGCCUAUCCAUUCCCUUCCAAGUUCAUCUGCCACAGCUUCCUAUGCUGAUUCGGAGCUGGCAGAAUUUGAGGCUCUGGAUCUGAACGCCCAGCUAGACAAGCUGAACCCUAAACCCUUGAGAAACUCAGCUCCACUCCUUGCAAGGCAAAGUCCAAGGCAGUGGAGGAGGCUAUGGAGAGACUGAAGAUCUGGCAAUCAACUGAUCUGGAGCUGGAUAAGGACAGGGAAGCUGUUGACCAAUUGAUGAAGGAUCUGGACCUUCUGCACAGACAGAACAUGGCCCCCAAACCCAUACUUGAGAUGAGCCUUGGCUUGGGAAGAGAUGUGCUCAACCUCCACGACCGUUACGAGGAUCUCAAGCCCACCUUCAAGACCUCUGAGUUCUGCAAAGCCACCCAUAAAGCCAACUUGGCUGACUAUGCAAAGCAGAAGGCAGAACUGGACCAGAUGGUUGCAGGAUACAAGGAAGCCAAAGCCACUAUAGACAAGUUGGAGAAGCAGAUUGAAGAGCUUCAAAAACAAUUGGCAGAGUGCAGAGAGGUGCAGAGCAGGCUCGGGGCUAGACUGAGCUCUAAGACCAAGGCCACCUUCCUUGUGUAGAAUAUGGUUUCAGCUUCUAGGCCAGCUUUGGAAAUUGCAGAGGCUUCAAUCCACCAGGGGUGCUACUUCAGAAGGAACUCUCCAUUAAAAAGGCCAACUUGCAAGAAACCCUUAGGAAAUUAGGGUUUUAGAUUCUAGUUUUUUUUUAAAGAAAUGUAAUAAAUAAUUUAGCCAUAAAAAGUGGCUAUAUUUAAAUAAAAGUUCAUUUAUUUUUGUGGGAAUUCCAAAUUCUUUCGACAAAAAGAAAAGAGAGAAAAAGUAAUUUAAAGCAUACUUAACAAAUUACAACGAAAAUGAAAGUGAUCAGAAAUUCAAACAACAGUUUUAUCUUGCUGUCUCUCUAUUCCGGGAUCUGUCUGUACCGCCUGUGAAUCCCACAUAGUUGGAUAGAACUUUUUUAACCAUUUGUCAUUAAUUGGUGCAGUAUGGACAUCUCCAUCUCGAUCAUGUAAUCUGUAUGCCCCCAUUCCAAGGAUCUGAUUAAUUAUGAAAGGACCUUCCCAUGUAGGUGACCAUUUUCCAUAACCAUCUAUAUGCGUUCCAAGGGGCAGAACUGCUUUCUAGACUAUUUCCCCCUCUUCAAAACUCUUGUUCUUGACUCUUUUGUUGUAAGCCCUUGAUACAGCUUCCUUUCCUGCUAAGAGUUUGUUGAGGGUAUCGAUCCUGCUUGUAUCCAAUCCUUCCAGUUCUAGCAUCAUAGCUUGAGAGUAGUCUUCUCCAACCAAACUGUGUUGAUGAGCAAUUCUGAGGGAUUGGACUGCUAUCUCCAUAGGCAGAAUUGCAUCGUGGCCAUAGGUGGUCAUGCCAGUUGCUUCUCUUCUUGAAGUUCUAUAUGCCCACAGAGUUUCUGACAACUUCUCAUGCUACUAUUUUGGAUUUUUCUCAAGCAUUUUUCUGAUAAUGUUGAUGAUCACCUUGUUACUUGAUUCUGCCUGCCCAUUAGCUUGGGCAUAAUAAGGGGUGGAUUGAAGCAGUUUGAAUUUAAAUGCUCCUGCCAUUUCCAACAUUUCUCCAGAUAUGAAAGAAGAUCCCCUAUCAGUUGUGAUUGAUUCUGGAAUGCCAAACCUUUGUAUAAUCUGCUCUUCUAUGAAAGUGAUGAUUUCUUGAGAUGCUGUGGACUUAACAGGCUUGGCUUCCACCCAUUUGGUAAAAUAAUCUGUAGCUACAAUAAUAAAACAGUGUUGUUUGCUACUGGCUGGAUAAAUCUUACCAAUGAGAUCCAUUGCCCAUCCUCUGAAAGGCCAUAGUUUUACUACUAGAUUCAUGGGAACUGAAAGAGCCUGCUGGAUUAGCCGAGCCAUUUCCUUUUAUGCUACCGAUUUCUUUUAUGCUACUGAGCCGGGCAAAACCAAUAAAAUAAAGAAAGGCAACGAAUUUAUUAACCGAGUAUAAAGGAGAGAGAGGGAUUCGAACCCUCGAUAGUUCUUUGUUUCGAACUAUACCGGUUUUCAAGACCGGAGCUAUCAACAACUCGGCCAUCUCUCCGAAAUAAAAUUUAUAUUUUAUUCCACCUAAUAGAACAUGGACAUAUGAGUUGAUACGAUUACUAUCUAUAGAAAGAUAUCAGGUGUGAGUCUAUAGGUCUAUCUAUCUGUAUAUAUAUAUAUAAUAUAGAUGCAUGAUCCAGCAAGCAUGCCCCUGAAGUUGACUUACGCUCAAAUGUAGAAGAAUCAGCCAUGGCAAAUAGGUAGCUGAAUUGCAGCGGAAUAGAUGAGCAACGGUGUCACUCCCCCUCAUAUCCAACGAUGUAUAAGAGUCGAGAUUUGGAGAAAGCAAUACCGAAAAAUAAAGUUGCAGAACUCAAAUAAAGUUGCAUCUAUCUCCCCAUCAAAUCCGACACUGGUAAAGGGUCGAGAUUUGAAAGAGGAGAAAUUGAAAUAAUAGUAAAGAGACUCAAACAUGCAGUCUCAUGGCAGAAACAAAUGCAAGAGGGGAAGAUGGUAGCAUACGGUUGUCCCAUGAAGAAAAAACUUUAGAAAAGGAGAAUAGUAAGGGAGGAAACCCAGCAAAUCAUGAACAGAGACAAAGACAAAGAUAAGGUACUCAAACUGAGAAGCGGAAAGGCAACUCAAGAGAGCAACCGAAGAAGACAGAGGCCCGCAGAACAGUCAAAGGAAAGGCUCGGCGAGUGGUGACGAUGCUCGCGGAGGAAAGCAACGGCUCGGUGAGCAGUGACGAGGCUCACGGAGUAAAGAGACUUGUUAUGAAGUUUCAAAGAUAGAGAAGCUGAGACAUCAAGAAAGACCAUCUGGCAUACAAAGAUGAAAAAUAAAAUUUUUGGAACAGUAGCAAAGAAGCAUGUGAAGGCUAGGUGCGGUGAAAACACAUAUGAAAGGAUGAACAAAAGAAGAUGACUAUACAAGAUGAAGACCCAUGAUGGGUUAGAAAUGAGGAGUGCCAACGACUCUCAAUUUGGCAGAGGCUAUCACAGGUUAGGAACCUGGCUCUGAUACCAUGUCAAACAAAGUAGGGUAAAUAUUCAGUUAUGCUCAGAUAUGCUCAUAUUAUUAUUCUUCUCCAAUAUGGAGAUAUUUAUACAAGUACAAAGAUGUGUUAACCCUAAAUAAAAUAGAAAAUAUAUCUAAAUUACAAUUGGAAGUAAAUCUCUAUUACAAUAUGAGUAAAUAAUAAUUGAUAAGUAACCAAAAUUCUAAUGAAAUAAGGAACUAAAAUCCUAAGUAAGUAAGGACUCGCCAACGAAUAAUAGUACAACUCUUAUUAGCAACAGGUUACAAACUUCUUCUACAACACACCAACAUGAAUCUAGCCCUGAUCAAUUCUUUUACAUACUUGAAAACAAAACAAAACACGAAAAACAAAAAACAAGAAACAAGAUAGGGAGAAAAUGGCUACGGAGAGACUUACCGCUAAUACUUGAUCAAUAACAGAGAUAAUAGAGCACACUGUUUGUAUGACAAUGAGUAUCAGAAGAAUAAUAGCUGCAAAGAGAGAAAUAGCUGCCCAAGGUGUGUUGAAAUACUUUUGUCUCAAAUUUGCCUUCCGUCUGUUCGUGGUCUUCUUGCAGUACUCGUUUAGUUUGCCAGCAAGAUCACCAAAAUAGUAGUUUCCGUGGUUCGGAGCAACUUUACUGCAAAGCUUGUUAAUCAUAAUGGAAACCUUAUUGUUGUCACCUAGCGUGUUUACAACAAUUCCAUUGUCAACAAGCAACUCUACAUCCUUUGGGGUGUUUACAAAUUUAUCCAGGAUGAAAACAUAAUCGCUUAUGUAUUUAUCCACGCAAUUGCCUUGUUCAAAGGCAAUGAGAUUUCUAUGUGUAAGCUGUGUAAUCAUGUAUUUCAAUUUUUGGAAUUUCCAAGGUGUUUUUCUUGAACUGUAUAUCGAAUAAGUUCUUGCUUGAUCCCACGUUAAACUUAACUCCGGCCUGGUGUAGUUUUGUCAUGCUGGGUGUACUUUGGAGCCCUCCAUUUUUUUUUCUUUUGGCAGAUGUAAAGUUCUAAUAAAAUCAACAAAAUGUAAAGGUUUUUUAGGAUCAGGAGGCAUAAAAGACUUACGGAAGGCUGGUGAGUUCUCCAAGUUUUCUAAACGCAGUGCCUGUUGGAAGAACUUGUAAGAGAGUUCAAUUAUUGAAGGCUCCCCAGUCUGAGCACCUGUGAGAUUGUAAAGAUCCUUGAGAAUGAAAAAUGGCAGCUGAUUUACGAGCAUAAGCAUGUCAGGCAAUAUAUUUUGUAGCACCCAUGGUUUUUUAAAUAUCCAAGCAUUAUCAUCCUGCAAUUUUUCUUCCUGAAAUUUUUCUUCGGAUUUAUUCCUCAACAAUAGCUCAAUGACAAAGGCGGCAUCAACUAGACUGAUAUUCACAAAAGCAGCAAUGUUAAACUUCUUAGGGCUAGUUUGGCGUUGCUGUGUUUUAAAAAAAAAUAUGCUUCUGCUGUGCUGUGAAAAUAAUCAGCUGUGAAAAAAAGCUACUAAGCGUUUGGUAAACUGUUUUUGAAAAACUGUUGUGAGUAGUCAAAGUGUUUGGUAAAUUUUUAUCAGAAGUGUUUUUAGUGUGUAUAAUGACCAAAAAGGACAUGAUGAUGAAAUUGUUUGUUAUUUUCUUCAUUCUUUUUCUACUUUUUUUUUUAAAAAAAAAACCCAAUUUCACUACAUAAAUUUUUAUUCUUUUUUAAUUCACACCUUUUUAUCAAAAAAUUUAAUCUACAAUUAACAUACAUAUUUUACCAUAAAUUAUAAAUUACUAUUAUAACAAAAGUAAUUCUAAAUAUUGUUAUAUUAAUAUGGGCUUCGGACAUGACAAAAAUACAAAAAUUGUUCAAUUUUAAAAUGCCCCAAUAGAUCACUACAAUAUAAAAGAAGCUAAUUAGAUGCAUUCAUUAAACUUGUAGCGAUGCUAUUUCUUAAUGCAUUCAUUAGCUUCUUUUUUUGGUUUCCAAUGGUUCUCUAACAAUUUUAACUAAAAAAACAACCAUAAUGCUUUGUGAACAAUAAAUUCAAGUCCAAAUCUACUAAUGCCCACACCAUACAUAUAUACAUAAUUGUUUCUUUCAUAAAACUUGAAGAUUCAAUAGUAAUUACACAGUUUACCAAUCUUGAUUCCAACUAUAUCCAUAAAAUUAAACUAUAAUUAGAAACAGAGGAGCUACAUGUGAUUACUUAUAAAUGUUGCCCACUCUCAUCAUCAUCUUCUUCCUCCUCUGUACUUUGCCUUUCACAAAUGGACAAGACCAGAUGGUAACGUACACGACAUGGUCCACAUAUAGAUAAAUUUUGGGUUCACUGGAGAACAUAAAAGAGUUUUUACACGAAUACAAAGUUAGUUAAGUAGUGAAUAAGGUAAAACUAUUCUGUACAAUUCUAGCUGAUGCAGUCCAAAAAGAAUAUAUGUCUAAUAACUUAAAUAACAAUAAAGAGAAACAAAAACCUCAUGAAAAAUGCUAGAGUAAAAGUUACAUAACUGAAUCGAUGGACAGAGAACUCCACAGGCAGAGAAACAGCAACAAAAAUUGUCAAAACAGUAGCAAGACCAUGUUGGAGUCAAGGCCAAAGAUCAUAUUUCCUGUGUAUCUUCUUCCAUUCUGAAUUAUUCUCGUAUUCAAAUACUGUAACUCUAUUUCAAGUGCACCCCAAAAUACUUAUCUAAGGCCAGUACAUAGGACUUCAUAAAGGGUGCCAUAAAAAAUAUUGCCCCUUAAUUGAUAAACAGAACCAAGAUCCCAAUGGCACACCAAAACUAUACCAACCACACCUACAUAAUAUGGACAGAAAAUCCUGUUGUUCUGACCUCUAACCACACCAAUGACAUUCAUUAGGAAAAUACAAAAGAUGGGUACCCUGCAUUUCUAACAUUUAAGAUAAAAUUCACUGCCAGCUAAUCACAAAUUUGAAAAGAUGGCAAGAAAAUUGGCUAUGCUUUAACAAAAACCAGAGCAGUCCUUGCAUAGACCUGACUUUUUGCUCCAAGCUUUAGCAGAUCACUUACUGGUAGAGAGCAGAGAACAUGUAUGUGAAUAUCUGAAGUUGGAAGGGUAAGCCAUCACAAACACCAAGAGAUCUGAUUCUCAUCUCUUGUUACAACAACAAAUCACAAACACCAAUACAUCUGAUUCAGAAUCUCAUAAACAAUGGAGGAACAAACACAUAUUCACACACAUAUAAAUCCCUAAACCGAAAAAAAAAAAAAAAAAAAAAAAAAAAAAAAAAAAAAAAAACAUGAAAGUAAUAGGAGAAUCAAAUUGAUUUGGGCCAAAAUUGCCUAAAAAGAAAACACUCCUAAAUAAACUUCAAUUCACUUUUAAAAACAGUAAAACGUGAUUGAAUCGUUCUUUAAAACAAUUCCCUAAUAUACAUGCAUGAUAAUGACAUCAUUUACCCCUAAAUCAAAUGCCUUUCACUGGUUAAGCCACAAGUCUGUGUUUUGGGGAUUGCUGAGCUGCAUCAAUCCUGCCAAUGUCAAUUCUGCCCCUAGGCUCUCUCAAAGUGCAUUUACAACCUAUGCUAACAUAUACUAGAGUUUGUGCUAGUAUCUAGAAAAUGCCAACACUAAUUUCGUAACACGUAGAAAUUGUUACAUAUUGGAAGUUUUUAUCAUUUUUUCUUCCAGUCUCUCCACCACUCACUAAUACAGAUUACUCAUGUGAUGAGUUUACAAAACCUAUUUCUCUACUCCCACAAAGACCAUACUUUUUCUCAAAAGACUAUAUCACUUUAUCUCUAUCUUUGUGAAAUGUAAAAAGUUGAAACUUUAAUGUCAAAUCUCGACAAAAGAUGAACUUCCAUCAAUUACAUUGAAUUUGAAUUUGUUGAACUUAAGUGGUUUUACUUUCUCUGUCAGCGUUUGAUGACUUGAUUUGUUAUUUACUUCUUCUUUUUUCCUUGGAAAUGUGUUCCAUCAACGUGAGGAAGAAAAAUAUGCACAAAUUAAUAUAUUUAAUAGAAGCACAAAUUAAUAUUUACAAAAAUAUGCACAAAUCAAGUAAAAUUAAUAAAGCAUAAAUUGGAAAGGGAAAAUAUGUAGAGGAUGCAUUGUAGGAUUGCUCAUGCCAAUAAUUGUACCCUCUAAAUAUAUAGGGACAUAAUUUUUUUUGUUUUCAUGACAUGUGGUCCUCAAAUUAUUGUUCUUAGCGGACUCUCCACCCCUCUCGAUUGAAAGCCUAUUGUGUAAAUCUUCAAUCCUGAAUGAUCCACCUAAAACUCAUGUUGCAAUACACAUCCACCCAUUCUCAGGCCAAUUAUUACUCCUAGUGGGCUCUCCACCCCCUCUCAAAUUUAAGUGGUCCAUUAUUAUUAACCAUAUAUUUUAUGGACCAGCUAGCUGUGAGGUUUUAUCUCAAAAACCUUUCUCUCACAUGCCACAAUUUAUGUCUGAUACAUCACAUCAUGCCAGUUGUCUCAAAUGAAUUUAAGUGAGUGAGGCAGUGUUACUUCUGGGUACCCCUCAUCGUUCGUGUAUAAAAUGGUGAAGCCAGUUGCUACUGUUACCAUAAGAGCCAGCUCCGACUUUCAAAAUAAAAAUUCCAACAAUGAUCUUAGUGCCUUCAAACGCAUGAGUUACUGAACAUGCAAAUAAAUACACUAUGAAUAAUAAAAGUGUUUGAUAAAUCACCAAAUUAUGGAACACUUGAUGAUUUAUCUCAAAUAAAAAUUCCAAGGCUUAUUUUAUAGAAUUUUUCUUUAUUACAAGAAAGAAAACAUGUUGAAAACCAAAUCUCCAAUUUCCAAGGCUUGACAGAAAAUCAAAAAAAUAUCUUUCCUAUUCUAGAGAUUGGUCACAUGUAGUUCAGAAAAUCAAAAAAAUAUCUUUCCUAUUCUAGAGAUUGGUCACAUGUAGUUCAACCAAUAGGAAAUGAGAUAUUUAAGAAAGCAAGAUUUUGAUCAAUAUCAAUAUCAAAUGAAUUCUUAUACGCCUAGUCAACUAUUAAGGGUAUCUUGACUCUUUGAUAUUGUGAUAUGAUUGAAACAUGAUUUCCAUGUUAGAAAAUUAAGGGGAUGUUAAAACAUGAAAGUAAUAGGAGAAUCAAAUUGAUUUGGACUAAAAUUGCCUAAAAAGAAAACACUCCUAAAUAAACUUCAAUUCACUUUUAAAAAUCGUAAAACAUGAUUGAAUCGUUUUUUUAAAACAAUUCCCUAAUAUACAUGCAUGAUAAUGACAUCACUUACCCCUAAAUCAAAUUGUCACGCCCCGGACCUGGGGGUCAGUGGAAAUCCCGCGCCCGGUGCGUGAGAAAAUAAAAAGUAAAAUAAAAUAAAAAGAAAGCCGAAACAAGGGUUUAAAAUAAACUUCUCUUAUAAAAAUAACUCUAAAAUCUUAUAACUUUACAAGAAAUAAAUAAAGCUCUAUCAUUCUUAUCUAAUUCAGACUCAACUGGUUUAGUCCUUGUCUUGCCCACUAAUUCAUCUGAAAAAUUAAGAGUGUUGCUAAACGAACCCUAAAAUUAAUUGAGUACACCAUACUACCAAACAAUUUAUUGAAUUUGUCAAGGUUUUGUUUCUGGGAACUCACGAGCAACUUUCCAGUGGGUUACCCAUCCUAGGAUUGCUCUAGCCCACAACUCGCUUAACUUCGGAGUUCCUACGACUCCGAAGCCAGUGAGCUCCCAAAAGGCCUCGUGCUAGAUGGAUGCGGGUGUGCACAUAUAAGGCACAUCACCACCUCUCCGUUGAUUGAUGUGGGAUCUUACAAAAUUACUAAUUUAUUCUAAUAUAAAAUGAUCAAAAAAGAUAAAAUAAUAUUGGUAUCUAUUGCUUUGAAUCCAUGCCUUCAAACAAAUUGACUUAAUUUUUAACAAACAACACGGAGUCCAGGAGAAGUGUAUUGAUCCAAGUUGAUUUUUGUAUGCAUAAAACUUAAACAAUCAAUAACACAAAGCAGUUCAUGCUGAAAUAUUGGAAACCCACACCCAAAGAGUUCUCCGCUGCGAGGUUGAAGGCAGGAGAGAUGGGUGACAGAUUUUACUUCCACUGCGAAGUUGGAGGCUAGGAGAGUCUGUGACUGCCAUGGUUGAGGGAGAAGAUGCGUUCAAAAUGCCUAUUGAUAUUUUACAUUAUUUUCUAUACAAGUUAACAGUGUUUGUGUAUUGUUAAAGGUGGAGAGACGUGUCAAAAUUUUAGACAAAGGACAGGAGGAGAUAGGGAAUUUGGGGACAGCAGAUCUCAACUCCCUUGAGACCCUAUUCUCUACGCCACCCCUCCCCCUCAACAACCCUAGUCACCAUUUCUCCUUCAACUCCAACGGCAACUCAUUAAAACCCAAUUCUCAAAUGCAACAAUCUAAUCCCAAUCCCAAUUCAGAUGUUUCUAAAAAACCAAUGGUUGUCGUGGUGGAGAACUGCAAUUCCAGGUGGUGGUGGUACCACAUGGGAGAGAGAAAAAAGAAGAAGAAGAAGCAGCAGAGAGAGAGUUUUUUAUUAUAUUAUUAUUUUACUGUAAUUUUUUAAUUUAAAAAAUUAAAAAAAUUAAAAAUUAAAGAGGAUGUACCAUGGGUAUUUUUGGUAGUUAAAUAGGGUGUACUUAGUUAAUUUUCAAUUUAAUUUAAACAUUAGAGUGUACUCAGUUAAUUUUAGGGUUCAUUUAGCAGCACUCAAAAUUAAACAAGGUAAGGGAUGAGCAAGUAGGGACAUGAGACCUUGCCACAGUAGAUUGAUAUAACUAAAUAUUAUCAUAAACAUCGAAAUAUAUAAAUAUUAUUAUGAUAGGAUUCAUAAUAAUUAAUAUAAAAGUAUAACAACAAGAUUUACAUUUAUGUACCAAGAUAAUUACACAUAUAAAUAUAACCAAUAUAUAUUUUUAUAUAUUUUAAAAUACAAGUCUUUACGUAAAUGCCCUUCACGGGUCAAGCCACAAGUCUGUGUUUUGGGGAUUGCUUAGCUGCAUCAAUCCUGCCAAUGUCAAUUUUGCCCCUGGGCUCUCUCAAAGUACGUUUAAAACCUAUGCUAACAUAUACUAGAGUUUAUGCUGUAUCUAGAAAAUGCCAACACUAAUUUCGUAACACGUAGAAAUUGUUAGAGAUUGGAAGUUUUUAUCAUUUUUUCUUCCAGUCUCUCCACCACUUAUUAAUACAGAUUACUCAUGUGAUGAGUUUACAAAACCUAUUUCUCUACUCUAGCAAAGACUAUACUUCUUCUCAAAAGACUAGAUCACUUUACCUCUAUCUCUGUGAAAUGUAAAAAGUUGAAACUUUAAUGUCAAACCUCGACAAAGUGUUCUACUUUACAAACUUCUUGUGUCUACCAAUUUCUACUAAAAUUAAUUUCUCUACGGUGCUCAGAUUCAUCAUAUGUGUGUCCUUAAUUUUAGUGGAAAUUGGAAGUUUCCAUAAUUUUUGCUUUAAGUCACUCUUCUGAAGGAAGUUGAGGUUCCACUCCAUAAUCCAAAAUGUCAGGUUGACUUAUGGCAAACAAUGUAAAUAUGUAGGAGUACUAUGACCUUUUAUAGCAUUUUUAGUUUGAAUUUGGGUUUUAUACAUAGAUUUCGAAAUUAAUAGGUUGAUGCCUAGGAAAUAGAAAUUGUAAGGGCCUAUAUUAGACUAGCCCUCUUAAAAAAUAUAUUAAUUAAUGAAUAUUUGUUCUUCUUGUUGUUUUGAAGUAGUGGUGGGAGGCAUACCAACAAAAAAAAAAAUAUAGUGAAGGCUUAUAAGAGCAUUUACAAUCAUGCUCCCUAUUUUUUAGUUAAAAUUUAGCUAAAAAUAGAAAAAAGUUAUUAUAGGAGCUCUUUAUAAAAUUUGAACUCCAAUCAUACUCCCUAGUUUAGGGAGUCAAAAAUACUAUAGUUAUUUUUUAAUUCAAUUUGAUUUUGGUUAAUCUCUAUAAAUAAAUAAAAAUAUGAAAAAAUAGUUAACAUUAAUUAAAAGUUUAAACUAUGCAUAAAACAAAGAAACAUUAAAUUAUAGGGAGCCACUAUGAGUCGUUACUCUCUCCUCAGAUUUAGGAGCUCCUAGAGGUCUCCCUAUUUUAUGAGGUGGAUAAGGAGCAUGGUUGGAGUUGUAUUUCUUCAAUUUCCUCCCUAAAAUUUGUCUAAGGAUGUGGUUUAGGGAACCCAUUGUGAAUGCUCUAACUCUGGUAAAACACGAGUGACAUGGACAACAUAUGUUACGUCGUACAGAAGAUUUUUGGGUUUCUUUAAUUGGUUAAGUAGCAUCCACAAUGAGCUUCCUAAAUCAUCUCCUUAGACAAAUUUUAGGGAGGAAUUGGAAAAGUACAAUUCCAACUAUGCUCCCUAUCCACCAACUAAAAUAGGGAGACCUCUAAGAGCUCCUAAAUCUGAUGAGAGGGAAAGGACUCUUAAUGACUCCUUAUAAUUUAAUGUUGCUUUACUUUAUGCAUAUUUUGAACUUUUAAUUAAAUCAAAUUAUUAUUUUUAUAUUAUUUUGUAUACAGACGGGUUAAUUAUAUUAAAUUAAAAAAUAAUUAAAAUAUUAAUGACUCUCUAAACUAGGAAGCAUAAUUGUAGAUCAUCUUAUAUACCUUAAUUUGAAGAUUCUUUAUUUGGGUUUCUUUCAAGACUUAUCACCUUAGCCACACCACCUACACGUCUGCAAGCUUCCGUAAUCUAACAAGGAAGGGGAGGCUGCGCAAUACUUAUCACCUUAGCCACACCACCUACACCACAAGACCAAUAUGUGUAGUCCAGCAGGCUUUCCAAUUUUAAUAUAUAUUAUAAAAUAAAAUAAAAAUCAAUCUAUUAUCAUAUAUAUUAUAAAAUAAAGAUUAUUGCUCCAUCCUCCAUGCACUUGCAUGCCCUCUUACAAAGUGUGAAGUAGAUUUUGUGUGCUCCAAGUCAUUGACGAGAGCUGUAACAUGGUUAGCUGGAUUUAUAAGAUCUUUUCUUUUCUGGGAAUUUUCUGAAUUAAGAAAAAUCAAGUAAAAUUAAUAAAGCAUAAAUUAGAAAGGGAAAAUAUCUAGAGGAUGCAUUGUAGGAUUGCACAUGCCAAUAAUUGUAUCCUCUAAAUAUAUAGCGACACAUUUUUUUUGUUUUCAUGACUUGUGGUCCUAAAAUUAUUGUUCCUAGCGGGCUUUUCACCCUCUCUCGAUUGAAAAUCAAUUGUGUAAAUCUUCAAUCUUGAAUGAUGCACCUAAAACUCAAGUGUCCCAGGCCAAUUAUUGCUCUCAUACCACUUGUUGUAAUAAACAUUCACCCAUUCUAAAGGAAAGAUAACCAUCGAUAUUAUCUGAAAUUUAACCACUUAAGUUCAUUAUGAUUAACUAUGUAUCUUAUGGACCAAUCCAAUCGUAAGGUUUUAUACUCAAUUAGAUCGACCAAUACAAAGUUCACACUGGAUUAAAAAGGGCUAUCGGUAGGGGAGUGUUCGGCACCCUUUACUGUGGAGCGCAACACAAGACCCCUUGCAUGCCCUCACUAAGUUGAGCCCAACUAUUUUUGAGCAUUAACAAUAUAUAUAGAUUGAAAAAAUAAAAUAAAAAUCAAUCUAUUAUCAUAUAUAUUAUAAAAUACAUAUUAUUGCUCCAUCCUCCAUACACUUGCAUGCCCUCUUACAAAGUGUGAAGUAGAUUUUUUGUGCUCCAACUCAUUGACUAGGGCUGAAACAUGGUUAGUUGGAUUUAUAAGAUCUUUUGUUUUUUGGGAAUUUUCUGAAGCACGGAAAAUCAAAUAAAAUUAAUAAAGCAGAAACUGUACCCUUUAAUUAUAUAUGGACAUAUGUUUUUUUGUUUUCAAGUCUUAGAUGACAUGGGGACCCCUCUCAAAUUUAAGUGGUCCAUUAUUGUUAACCACAUAUUUUAUGGACCAUCCAGCUUCGGUACAUUUCUCCCACAUGCCACAAUUGUAUAUUCACAAUUACGUCUGAUACAUCACAUCAUGCCACUUGCCUCACAUGCCACAAUUGUAUAUUCACAAUUACUUCUGGGUACCCCUCAUCAGUCGUCUAUAAAAUGGUGAAGCCAGUUGCUACUGUUACCAUAAGAGCCAGCUCCGACUUUCUUUAAUUUCUUGCUACAUCUGUUGCUAAGUUAAUUUCAGUCCUAAUGGGGUUUCAUCUCCCACUCAUCUUUGCUAUUCUCAGUGUAAGCUCUGCAAUUUGAUUAACUUUUCCAUUCUCUCUCAUUGUACUCUAUAUAUAUAAAUGAAAGUUUUGUGUUCCUAUAAUUCUCUCCGAUUUUAUUUAGUACGUACUUAAGUGUCGUCCACUAAUUAAUUACACUUUGUGAGAUUUGAUUUUAAUUAGAGUUCGAAUUAAUGUUGCAGCUAGCAGCGGUUGCACUGGCAAACAAUGCUGCUCAACCAGCACCUCAACUUUACUGGAACUCCGUCCUGCCAAACACACAGAUGCCAAGAUCUAUCAGUGAACUUCUGCAUCCUGGUUUGUGUUCAGCUCUUUAUAAUCUUAGAUAUCUCUUCUACCUGCCAUUUUACUAAACUAUGUUCGACCACAUAUUUAUCAGUUAACUACUGUCAUUACAAGAAUGACACUUAUUUUCCAAUAUAAUUUGCAGACUCCACAAAUGAAGAAAAGAGCAAACCUGAAAUUUUCCCAUUGCAGGGCAAUAGAGUUUACACUCAAAGCCAUUAUAAAAAACGUCCUCCUCCUCCAUCUGACGAGGGCAAACCUGAAAAUUUCCCAUUGCAGGGCAAUAGAGUUUACACUCAAAGCCAUUAUAAAAAACGUCCUCCUCCUCCAUCUGACGAGGGCAAACCUGAAAAUUUCCCAUUGGCCAAUAGCUUUUACACUCAAACCCAUUAUAAAAAACGUCCUCCUCCUCCAUCUGACGAGGGCAAACCUGAAAAUUUCCCAUUGGCCAAUAGCUUUUACACUCAAAGCCAUUAUAAAAAACGUCCUCCUCCUCCAUCUGACGAGGGCAAACCUGAAAAUUUCCCAUUGGGCAAUAGCCAUUACACUCAAAGCCAUUAUAAAAAACGUCCUCCUCCUCCAUCUGACGAGGGCAAACCUGAAAAUAUCCCAUUGGCACGUUCAGGUUACCAACGAAAAAAUUAUGGAGCAAGUCCUCCUCCAUCUGACAGUCAACUAAAGCAUUAUAAAGACUUAGCUAUUUUCUUCUUCGAGAAGGACAUGCGCCCGGGCACAACUAUGAAGUUCCAAUUCCCUAGAAAUUCAAACACGGCUACUUUCCUGCCACGCGAAAGUGCUCAAUCGAUCCCCUUCUCCUCUAAGAAACUACCAGAAAUUUUCAACCAUUUUUCAGUGAAGCCAACAUCUGAGGAAGCCAAAACAAUUAAGCAAACAAUCGAAGAGUGUGAAGCUCCAGGCCUUAAGGGAGAGGAAAAAUAUUGCGCCACAUCUUUAGAAUCAAUGGUUGAUUUUAGCACUUCGAAGCUUGGAACAAGAAACGUUGAAGCAAUCUCAACGCAGGUAUUGGAAGAAGGAGCCACCAAGUACAUGCACAACUAUACAACAAUCCCGGGACUGAAGAAGUUGGUAGGUGACAAAGUCGUUGUGUGUCAUAAGGAGAACUAUCCCUAUGCUGUGUUUCUCUGCCAUGCAAUAAAACAAACAGAAGCUUAUGUUCUCUCCCUGAAAGCCGAUGAUGGGAUGAAGGUGAAAGCAGUAACCAUCUGCCAUCUAGACACAUCAGAAUGGGACCCAGAGCAUUUGUCCUUCCAAAUCCUCAACGUUAAGCCCGGAACCACUCCCAUCUGCCAUUUCCUUUCCACUGAUGCUAUUGCCUGGGUUCCAAAACACAAAUCUGCAUGAUCAUCACUUAGCACUGUACGUAUAAUAAGCUUGGUCGGGUUGCACCCUAGGCCUGCAUAAUUAUCUCCCUACUUAUUUCUGCCUCUUCAUCAUGCGGUGUAAGAUAUAUGAUGAGAUGAAGUUUUCUCUUGUAACUAUGUAGACUACUUCAACUUGUACUCAUAAUAAAGCACGCUGUUGGGGGGUUCUACUUAAUUUCGUUCUCUCCAAUGUUUGAGUGUUGAAUUGUUACGUUGGAAUAGGCUGCUAAUGCAUGUAGUUAGAGAAGCCUUCAUUUAUAUCAAAGUCCUCAAACUAUCAAGAAUUAAUGUAUCCAGAAACAUAUACCAAGACGCAAAACAACAUAUUUUCCAUUCUCUGUCUGUAACACCAAGGCAAACUUCCUUUAUCACAUCAUUUAAAGGAUCAAAUUCCAGUACUAAUCUAAUCCAUCAUGUAAAGCAUACAAGUGCCUACCUAAAUUUGUCCAUUGGAUAUAUAUGUCACUUUUUAUUUUUUGAUAGAGAUAUAAAUGUUGAGAAAAUUAGAGUACACAACUCCAAUAUAGACUUGUUGGAGACAAAACAAGUAAACAAAUUACUUGUAUUAGACUCACAAAAUAUUACAACAAGACAACUCUCAAAGAAAAGACAAACUCUCACACUUCUCACAAGGACUACUUAACUUUAUAGCUUAUUGCAUAUAGCAUAUGCAAACACAAUUAGAACAUACCUACGUACACUAUGGGAACACUCGUGUAUAUUUGAACACAAGAAAACAUGUGCGCACCGUGCACGGUUCACAUGAAGUAAGAAAUGAAGAGGAAAUAAAGAAGAAGAAUACAAAAGAAAAUGGAGAUGAGAAAAAAAAAACACGAAUAAUGAAAAAUGAAUUGACAAUUAUAUAUGGUUGACAUUAGAUCUAAUAUUAUAUGUAAUAACUAAUGAUCUAAAAUAAACAUUAAAUCAAACAAUAAUUAAAAGAUUUGACAAUAUAAAAAUUUACACGUCAGCAAACUCACCAUGGUAAGUUUGCUGACGUGUAAAAAUUGUGAAUGGACUACAUCGAAAAAUAAUUGGCUUACAUCAAAAAUUAAAAUCACGUGGGUUAUUCCUAAGAAACCUUAAUAUUUUUAGGUUUAUAUAUUUUUUGUAUUUAAAAAAAAAAAAAAAAAGAGAAAUCUGACCAUGUAUGUAUGAUGAUGAUAUGCAUGUUAUUUUUAGACCUAAGGUAAAACAGACAAACUUUUUACUCCAUUUUUCAUGAGGUUUAUCACAAUAAUUAAACUGUUAUAUCCUCCAUUUUAGAUCUCAUGCUUCCAUUUAAAGAAAAGAAUAUCAACAACAAAAAAAGAAUAAAGUUACAACAUUGAUCAAUUCAAAUGUCCAACUACCGGAUCAUGAGCCCUUGCACUUAGCGAUAUGCAGAUAAAUGCGUAGUGUCUUAAUGCAGAAGCUCGGGAUCCCCAAUUACCAUUGAAACAUAAGAAACUAAAAUCUGCAAGAAAAUGCUAUCAAUUGAAAAAACAAUAAUUAAAAAACAAAAAAAGGAAGGGAAUUCGCACCCGCUAUGCAAAAAAGAGCAAGUCGGUUCAAUGAUUUUUUUCUUCUUCUUUUUGUUAUGGAAAUGAAAAGCUCAAUGAUGGGCUAUAUAUAGGAAGAAGCUCAAUGAUUGAAUUAUUAUCUUCUAUCUACAUUCUACCCUCUUCCUCGCUACAUACACAAAUGGUGCACACCAGUAACUAAGCUUGUUUUGGGUUUGGUGGCCCACUGUAAAAGCUCAAUGGAGAUGGUUUGAGGUAGAAUUUUCUCCUAUUUCAAUAGGACAAUGAUGAGAUCUAUGUAACAACAAAUUUCUUUAAUAAUGAUAACUAAAAAAAGUGUGAUUCAUUGAAUAUUUGCGGGGUUUUGUUCUAAGUCAACACCUCAAAUUCCUUUUACACCAUCAAAUUCAAAAAGUUUUAUUCAACCAUCUCGACCUUAUGCUAAAAAUUUAUUUUGUUCAUACUUAACGUACUAGGUAUUUAUUUUAUACCAACGAGUACGAUGGUCCAUAUAAGUAUUCUAAUCAUUCACUCCAGUUGCAGGCCCCAAUAAUUUAGAAGGGCCGAAGGUCUUUCUUUUUUUCUUUUUUCUUUUUUGAGAAAUUCUAUGAUUGCAUUCAUAAUUCAGGCAAAAAAGUCACUAGCCACAAAAGGGCCAGUACAACAACGGAGCGGUCUAAUAUCAAAAUUAAGACAAUCUAGUGUGUCUCCACUAACGAUCAGGCGAGCCGAUGGUCUUUCAUUGGAUGAAAGCUUCUAUCUACCGACCCCACUAUAUGAACUAUGCAAUGGUGAUGAUGUUACAUUGCAAAAAAUAAAAAGUCAAGGUUUCUUAUUAAUGUUAAUGAAGGCAUAGCAAAAAAUUUAUAGCUCCAAUGGUUCAAAGCAGUUACCCAUGCACUUGAGAUUCUGUGUUUGAAUGCCCUCUCCCCUAAUAUUGCUUGUAUAAAAAUAAAAACUUCUAAAAAGACAUUAAUAUUGUAUUCUAUAUUCUAUAAAGUGUUGGACAUGUCUUAUAUUGUUGACAACCCCCUAACACUUUGGUGGUGCCUAGUUAUAUUCAAUUCGUAUGUAUUUAAUUUGCCACUUACAUUCUUUCCUUAAUACAUUUAGGCUUAUUUUUAUACUAAUUUCUCUAACAUAACUUUUGCACAUUCUUUUAGUCUCUAAUAUAUAUAUUUUCUAAUAAAUAAUCAAGAUCUAAUAAAUAAUCUUACUCACUUGAGUUAUAAACUAUUUUCUUUUAGCACAGAAAAUCGACAUUUUGACAGAGAGUUGAAAACGACUCCCCAAUUUUAAUGUCAACCACUUGAAAAAAAAAACAUAAAUUUAAUGAAAACAAUUACAUUUAGCAAUGCAACCUAAAAACUCAACCUUUGCGCCCCUUUCACAACGUAGAUAGCAAGGUGAGGAUAUUCGGAUAAGAACCAAGACAGAAGCCAAAGGAACUGCGAUAGCCAACCAGAGUCUCCAUUUCUUACCAUUUGAACAACGCCACCAUUUUGUUUGGUAAGUAUUUAAUAACAUUUCUUGCUCUACAUAAAGUAAUAUUAAAACGGAAUUUGCCUAAAUUUUUCUUACCAGCAAUCCAUAUGGACAAAAAUAAAAUAAAAUAAAUAAAUUUACAAUUAUACUCAAUAUAGGAGCCCAAAUUAUUUAUAAUUAAAAAAACUUAUAUGAAAUGGACUUUAGAAACACACUUAAAACCUAUUUACAACAAAACAAAAAAACGUUUAACUUCUUUUAAAUUACAAAACUAUCAUUGAUUUCUUAAACAAACCCAACCCAAAAACUUCAUUAAAAAAAAAAAGCUCAAAAUAUUAGACUCACAAAAUAUUACAACAAGACAACUCUCAAAAAAAAGACAAACUCUCACACUUCUCACAAGGACUACUUAACUUUAUAGCUUAUUGCAUAUAGCAUAUGCAAACACAAUUAGAACAUACCUACGUACACUAUGGGAACACUCGUGUAUAUUUGAACACAAGAAAACAUGUGCACCGUGCACGGUUCACAUGAAGUAAGAAAUGAAGAGGAAAUAAAGAAGAAGAAUACAAAAGAAAAUGGAGAUGAGGAAAAAAAAAACACGAAUAAAUGAAAAAUGAAUUGACAAUUAUAUGUGGUUGACAUUAGAUCUAAUAUUAUAUGUAACAACUAUUGAUCUAAAAUAAACAUUAAAUCAAACAAUAAUUAAAAGAUUUGACAAUAUAAAAAUUUAUUGAGGACAAAAAAAGGCAAAAACUUAUGAAAAAUGGAAACAAUAAAUAUGAACUGAGUCAUCAACUCACCAUGGUAAGUUUGCUGACGUAUAAAAAUAGUCAAUGGACUACAUCGAAAAGUAAUUGGCUUACAUCAAAAAUUAAAAUCACGUGGUCUACCUACUAUAUAGGAUGAAAAAAUUAGGUGAACAAUAUACUUACACCAUGGGAACACUCCUAUAUAUUUGAACACAUGAACACGUGUUCAAGGUUAUAUAUUUCAUUACCUUCACAAUAGGUACCAAACCGUACCAUGCGAACAUUCAUAUACGCACAACAUACUUAUAACAUACCUACACUAUGGGAACACUCGUGUAUAUUUGAAAACAAGAAGACCUGUGCACCACCGUGCACGGUUCACAUGAAGUAAGAAGAUGAAGAGGAAAUAAAGAAGAAGAAUACAAAAGAAAAUGGAGAUGAGAAGAAGAAAAAAAAACACGAAUAAUGAAAAAUGAAUUGACAAUUAUAUAUGGUUGACAUUAGAUCUAAUAUUAUAUGUAACAACUAAUGAUCUAAAAUAAACAUUAAAUUAAACAAUAAUUAAAAGAUUUGACAAUAUAAAAAUUUACACGUCAGCAAACCCACCAUGGUAAGUUUGCUGACGUGUAAAAAUAGUCAAUGGACUAUAUCGAAAAAUAAUUGGCUUACAUCAAAAAUUAAAAUCACGUGGGUUAUUCCUAAGAAACCUUAAUAUUUUUGGGUUUAUAUAUUUUUUGUAUUUUUUUUUUAAAAAAAGAAAAGAAAUCUGACCAUGUAUGUAUGAUGAUUGUUGGUAAAUUUUAACAACAAUAUUAAAACCUUGCAAGUGCACAAAUCAAAUGAUAGUAUAGUAAGCAAGCAAGGGUCGAUCCCACAGAGAUUGUGAUCUAAAGAGAUGUUUAUCAAUGUCACGCAAUGAAAAUCAAAACAAAGGACUUCCAAACACAAGCCAACACCAAGGGGGGUUUUGAUUUGUUUUUGUGAAUCAAACAAAAUAAGGAAAAGGAAACAAAAGAGAAUUUAAAUUAGAGUUUAAGAGAAAUUGGUUUAAAAACAAUCAAGAACAAUAGCUAGGACUUACUAUCCACCUCCAAACAAUCAAUCAAUCCAUAAACAACAAUAGAUAAUCAAUUUCUAGCAAGCAUAUGAUGACGACACUCACAACAAGAUCAUGGCAUUUGACUCGAGUUGUAUGAUUCUCUCUUAAGUGUAUGUAAAGUGUAUGGCAUUUACAUCAAUACGUGUAUUCUUAAUUAAAAUCUAGUAUGACAUUUACUCAAAUUAACAAUCAAGAAUCCAUUAAGAUCAAAGAGAAUAUGAGUGUCACAAAAACCCUAAAACAUGACAUUUGUUAUUAGGAAUUCAAGAAUCGAUUUCUCAUAACUAGUUCUUAACCCAAUUAUUCGUUGCAAACAAGAACACAUUCAAUAUGGCAAUUGACCUAUGUUCUACAACAAUUUAAUUCCAAUACAUGCUUCUAAGUUAGCUACUCAAAGAAACAAAAUACCAGAAUUCACAUAACAUAGAGAAACCGAAAUCAUCACGCUUGUAGAAACUAAAAAUCCAUUAAACUUGUUUAUAAAAUUGAAAUCAUGUCUAGGGCUUCAAGAUUAAGCCCUAACUAACAAGAAAUUAGUUACUCAUGGUCUUGGAUGAACUCAAAAAUAAAUACAUAAGAACUGAAAAUUAAAAGAAGGAAGGAAAAGAAAGAACUCGUUCGCAGCUUUCUCCUCUUGCGCAGUUGACCUCUUUAGGACGUGAAUCCUUUUUAUCAGGCCUUGGCUCGUCUUUUAUAUCACUUAUAUCAGAGUUCUAAACCCUAAAAUUGACUGAAAAGUCGUCCAAGAAGUCUUGAUAAACAAGGAAUCCAAAUAGGAAAGUAAAAAUCACAAUUCCUAACUCCACUGGGAUAUACAGCUCAGCCCAAUGUUCACACGAUUUGGGGAUCUUCGACCUUGUAGAAAAAUUAUUAAAAAUAUAUUUUAGAAAGAUAAAUGUCUUAUCUUUCCAACAUAUAUAGCACGUAACUUGAAAAAUUUGGAAAGGCUUCCGUUUCUUCACAUUCACGUAACAUGUACGAAACUGUCCUGUCUGCACGUGGGCUAACUUUACUUGUAAUACUGUACCAAUUGGCUCGGUAGAAAAUUCUAGAAAAAUAAUAGAUUGAACUUCAAGAUGUUAGCUUUCAUCUCCAAUUGGUCUUGUGCUAAAAUUCCUCCGAAAAGUUGAUUUUCCCUUAAAAACCUUCUAAGAGCGCAGAAAAGCUGAAAAUCAGAAGAAUAAAGUAAUAAGCCCUUUUUAAAUCUAAUUCUCUUACAAAACCAAAGUAAAAAGAGUACAUAAAUGAGUAUAUUUAUGGACUUAUCAAUGAUGAUAUGCAUGUUAUUUUUAGACCUAAGGUAAAACAGACAAACUUUUUACUCCAUUUUUCAUGAGGUUUAUCACAAUAAUUAAACUGUUAUGUCCUCCAUUUUAGAUCUCAUGCUUCCAUUUAAAGAAAAGAAUAUCAACAACAAAAAAAAUAAUAAAGUUACAACAUUGAUCAAUUCAAAUGUCCAACUACCAGAUCAUGAGGCCCUACACUUAUAGACUACGCAUUUUCUCGUAUUUUGCAAAAUUUAGACCAUUAUAAUAAUCUAACCCCUUCAAAUGUGAAACAUCAUCAAGUUUUUUUUCCUUCACUAAACAGAAGAGUUAAGUUUUAUUUGUGGGUAACUAAACUCUUGUUUAGAGCAUGUUUUUUAUUAUUUUUUUCUUUCUUCUGUGUAAAGUAUAAUGGGUUAGAUUAUUAAUUGUGGGUGACUAAAAUCUUGUUUAACAACAAUAGUUAACGUUUGUUUAGAGAAGAAAAAAAACUUGAUGAUGUGCCAUGUUCUAAAGGAUUAGAUUAUUAUAAUGGCCUAGAUUUAGCGAUAUGCAAAUAAAUGCGUAGUGUCUUAAUGCAGAGGCUCGGGAUCCCCUACUACCAUUGAAACAUAAGAAACUCAAAUCUUCACGAAAAUGCUAUCAAUUGAAAAAACAAUAAUUAAAAAACAAAAAAAGGAAGGGAAUUUGCACCUGCUAUGCAAAAAAGAGCAAGUCGGUUCAAUGAUUUUUUUUCUUCUUCUUUUUGUUAUGGAAAUGAAAAGCUCAAUGAUAGGCUAUAUAUAGGAAGAAAAAAAUGGUGCACACCAGUAACUAAGCUUGUUUUGCGUUUGGUGGCCCACUGUAAAAGCUCAAUGGAUGUAACACCCCGACUCCAAAUUAAAUUCCCUAUCUAAAUUAUUUAAUUUAAUUAAAUAUGGAAUUUCCAAUUUACCCUUGGGGUAGGGGUAUUUUGGUAAUUCUCUUAUCCAGAGAGAUUUUGGAGCAACAAGUGGUAUUUUUAGGUAGAUCAUACUUAGACGAGUCCGUAGAUACGUAGUGGGCUCGAUUCGGAGUUGUAAUGAAGAAGUUACGAUCAAAACAAGUUUUUUUUUUUUUUUUUGGAGAAAUUCUAUAUGAUUGCAUUCAUAAUUCAGCCAAAAAAGCCACUAGCCACAAAUGGUCAAUACAAACUAGCAACAAAAGGGCCAUUACAAUAACGGAGCGGUCUAAUAUCAAAAUUAAGAAAAUCAGGUAUGUCUCCACUAACGAUCAGGCAAGAUCGAAGAAACUCUGGCAUAGGCAUCCCAACUAAGAUUGCAAACUUAGAAUAAUAAAAAAGAGAUAAAGCUUGAAAAAACCAAGCCAUAACAAUACAAAUAAAACUCUCACCAAGGAUAGAUGAAAAGCUGUCACAAAGGAGAAAUGAAAAACUCUCACAAAAGGAGAGGUGAAAACUACACAGACAACCCAAAGAGUCUCUGCAACUUAUUCCAAACAUAAAGAAAAUGCAAAAAAGAUGGUGGUGGAGAUCCGACGCCGAAAUGCAGGUGAAGAUCCAACGUUGAGCCGCAGCCGCCUAUAAUGGUUGGAUGAAAAUCCUAACAAAACUAAGAAAAUAGGGACAACCAUUUAUCUUUGAAAAUGGGGGAAGAGGUGAAAGGAGGAAGAAAGGAAGAGAAGAGGGGAGAGGAGGGAAGAACAAUGGCUUUCUCCCCCUUCAAAGUGGAAAAGGCUCUAAGAGUGUUUUUUGGGAGAAAGGGGGCACGAUCAAAACAAGUUUAAUAGCACAAUCAUAAUUAUUUCGAAGUUGGUUUUUAAUAAAUCAGAAAACACACACACACACACACACACACACACACACACUCUCUCUCUCUCUCUCUCUCUCUCUCUCUCUCUCUCUCUCUCUCUCUCCCGUGCGAUUCUUCCUCCCUCGUCAAACAGCAGCGGUGGUUUUUUCCACCGCCACUGCCACACGCCACCAUACGAGGUGGCACCGGUCCCAAAAGGACACCCAGCUCAUCCUCUUCCAACCCCAGCCAAGCCACGCCGCCAGCAGCAACGAGAUUUGCUGGAAACCGCAGAAAAUCCUGCCGGUUUUUCCUAAACUUCAAACCUCUCGUUCUCUCUCAUUUCUCCACCGAUUUGGAUGUAUAGGGUAUGGAUUUCCACCUAUUUUUCAUGAUCUAGCUGAUGGUAAGGUAGGAUUUCAUUAAUUUUGAGCUUAGGUUAGUUGAUUCUCUAUUUGAAAUUCUGCCGGUUUUGGGAUCGCGUUUUCGGCCAUUUCCGGUCACUUUUUGGGGUAGGCCCAAGAACAAAAGUAACUCCAAAUGGGGUUUUACACCUAGGGUAGGAGUCUGGGCCUGAUAUUUUGAGGUUUUUUCGGCAAGUGUUAUCGCUUUAGACACCCACGCACUGCCCGUGCGUGGGCACUGUAGCAAAGGUGCAUUUUUACCCCAAUGUGUUCCCCUACUUGUCACGAGUUCGUGGGUGUGCUCGGAUUCCAAUUCGUAUAUCGUUUGACUAUCGAACAGAUUUACGCCUAUUGUGUGUCAUCCGGGUUCAAUUUGUUCGGACCGUUGGAUCGAGUUCAAAUUAAUAUAUGUUGAUCUAGGCACUCCUAGGAUCGUGUAGGAAUUCACGGAUCGUGAAUCGAAGCCCCGGAUGUUCCUAUUCAAUAACUUAAAAUUUGUGUUAAACGAUAACCGUCCGAUCGUGCAAUCGCGAGCGAUCCGACUGCUCGAUCGAGACCAAACUCUUGGGAUGUGUUUAGGAAACUCUGUUGGACCUUUAGGAACUUUUGGAUUGUAAUUGGGAGGUUGUGGGCCCCGUGGGCCAGGUUGAUUAUCGGUUGACUAAUUUGACUAGUGGGACCGGAUAGUUGACCACGAGUCUUUGGAGAACAUUUUGUCUCUUGUUAAGUACUAAGAUGGCCUUAGGGUUUUACAAGGACGUGCACCCCCUGUGAGUCCUGAGAGUUAGGAUUUUGAAUUAAAGUUCAGUGUUGGAUUUGAGUAUUCAGUUAAUCUUGGUAUUCUCUCAAAUAGGUUCUUUGGCGCUAGGAAUCGUUCUUGACAAAACCGCGGAGGGUUGAAUGCGCUUUGGACCGUGUGUGAGUAGACAUUUAUUUUCUAAAUGGUUUUAUGAAACUCUUGGAUUGUGAUUAUAAUUUGUGUUGUUUUAUGGAUUUGAUGAUUUAUGGUUAUUAGUUUUCUAAUAGAAUAUUAUGCAUAUUCGAAUUUAGUUUGAAAACUAUUUUGAAAGAAUUAUAAAUGGUUUGAAUCAAAUAAUGAAAUUGGGGUUUUAUCUCGGUUUUAAAGAGAAUUUUGAUUAAUUAAUUAAUUAUAAUGCAUACUUGGAACUUUAUUUGGUUUUGAAAGAUUUGUGUUUUAUUUGAGAUAACUAAGAAGGGAUUUGAGAAACAGUGUGGUAAAUAGGGAUUUGUGGAAAAAAGAAAAGAAAAAAAAAAGGGCUUUUAUGAUUAAGUGUUGGAAUUGGAUUUCAAACCCACCCUAGAAACCUAUCCCUGGUUGCCUACAAAAUGUAUGAGAUGCCUUGGGAAUAAAUGAGUUGCCUCGGAAAAGAUAAAAAUGGUUGCCUUUGGAAAAAGUGUAAUAAGUUUCCUUCGGAAAUUAUGGUUGCCUUCGGUUAAGUCUGUGCACAUAACUAAGAUUGUCUAUACCUACAUAGAGACUACUCUGUAGGUAUCCGGCCAGAGUAUAUUGUCUGUACCUGUGUUGACUAUGCAGGUGUCCGGCCAGUGAUUUGCCUGUACCUACAUAGAGAUUACUUUGUAGGUGUCCGGCCAGUAUUUUGCCUGUACCUGCUUAUGUGGUUGUUCGGCCAGGAUUUUCCCACUACACCUAUCUGAUUGUCUAUAUAGGUGGUUGAUGUAACACCCAGACUCCAAAUUUAACUCUUAUUUAAAUUAUUUAAUUAUUUAAGGGGAAUUACAAAUUUACCCUUGAGAUAAGGGCAUUUUGGUUAUAUUCUUAACCGGAGAGAGUUUGGGGUAGGUCCAAGAACAAAAGUGGCUCCAAAUAGGGUGUUAUACCUAGGGUAGGAGUUUGGAGCCGUGGUUUUGAGAUUUUCCGGCGAAGCUUUAUCGCUUUGGGCACCCACGCGCUGCCGGUGAGUGCGGCGGCGCAUGGGCACUGUAGAAAAAGUGGCAUUGUGUCUCGAUGAGAUCCUUAGGUUGUCACGAGUGCGUAGGAUUUCGCGGAUCUCAAUUUGGACGUCGUUUGACUAUCGAACGAAUAUCGCCUAUUGUGCGUUAUCCGGGUUCGAUAGGUUGGGACCGUUGGAUGGUCCCAAAUUUAAUACAUGUUAAUCUAGGUAUUUCUAGGAUCGUGUAGGAAUUCACGGAUUGUGAAUCGGAGCCCUGGAUGUUCCAAAUAAGAAUUUUAAGUUUAUAUUUUAUAUUAACCGUCAGAUCGUGCGAUCGUGAGCGAUCCGACCGUCAGAUCGUGCGAUCGUGAGUGAUCCGACCGUCCGAUAUGAACCAAACUUGCAGGACGAGUGUCCUAUACCUUGUAAAACCCAUAGGGACUUUCGGAUCGGAAAUUGGAGGUCGUGGGCUCCGCAGGUCCGUUUGACCAGGGUUAAGGUAGUUUGACCCUUGGUUGACUGUGAGUCUCCCGGAGUAAAUCUCACCUACUUUUCAUGCUCUAGCUGCCUGUUGGGUAAGAUUGGAUCGAUUCUUAGCGUAGCCAAUUCGAUUUUCGAAUUGAAAUUCGGCCGAUUUUGGGAUCGCGAUUCCGGCCACUUCCGGUCAGUUUUUGGGAAAUGUCCAAUUUAUAGAGGAGACUCUGCCAAAAUUUCGGCAGGAAGUCUCGGUCUUUAGUAAGUGGGCCUGGCAUCGGGAUGAUGUCGGGAAUUCCAAAGGGUUUGCCUCGGGUUCUGAAAAAUUCGGGGCGGGUCCUUUCAGUUGAUCAGUUUUCCCCUAUUCUCGGUUACCUCAGUAUAUUGUCUGUACUUGUAUCACAAAUGCGAGUGUCCGGCCAGUGAUUUUUUCCCAGGAUGUUCCCCUGCCACCCUGCCGAUUUAUUACACAGGGUAGGCCAGUUAUUUUCCCCAUAGGUGUACUUGCAUGGAGAGAUUUCGUAUAACUUGGUUUGAGAUUGGAUUUUUGGAUGAUUUGUGUUUGAGCUUGCUUGAUUUAUUGGAUUCAAAUGAUGUUUUGAAACUGGAUUUUUAUGAAAUUAUAUUUUGAGUUGUAUUGGAUUUAAAUGUUAUUUGAAGUACAAAUUUGGGUCAAUGAUAUUUUAUUUACUAGAGUUUAUUUUACUUGCACAUGUAUUGAUUAUAUUUUGUUCCUGUAUAUAUACUUAUGUGUAUUAAUGAGUUUUCCAAAGGUUUGCAAAAACAGAGGGGUUAGUAUGUUCUGUAUAAUUACUUUCAAGAAAAACUUUCUUUUUGUCUACUCAUGCUUUUACUGUUUUGUGCCCCCAUGAAGUAGAUAGCUCAGCGUUCGGACAUCUACAUAAGCUACUCCGACGUCGGUGAAGUCCUUAUAAUUCUAAGUAUGAGACUUCAUCUUUCGUUCUCAUGGUUCAUUUGGAAAAUAAUUUUGUAAAUUCAACUUCUGUAGUUGCUCUGAUAUUUCCCACUUAGGAUUGAAAUUGAGGCCGGAGGCCAUGUGAAUUUUAUGUGUGCCUUAACUUGUGUGUGCUGCCUGUUGAGAUUAUUAGAUUGUCGGUAAUUGCAGGUGUUAAUUUGGAGAAAGUCCAUUUUAGAGAGGAGACUUUACCGAAAAUUUCGGUAGAAGUCUCGACCCUUUUAUCUUAAAAGUUUGGGUGAAAGGUGUAAAUUUAGUAGUGGGUCCGGCAUCUCUUAGGUGUCGGUCAGAUAGCAGGAUUCGACACGAGUUCCAAUGGGAAAUUCGGGUCGGGUCCUGUUAAUGGAGAUGGUUUGAGGUAGAAUUUUCUCCUAUUUCAAUUGGACAAUGAUGAGCUCUAUGUAACAACAAAUUUCUUUAAUAAUGAUAACUAAAAAAAGUGUGAUUCAUUGAAUAUUUGAGGGGUUUUGUUCUAAGUUAACACAUCAAAUUCCUUUUACACCAUCAAAUUCAAAAAAUUUAUUCAACCAUCUCGACCUUAUGCUAAAAAUUUAUUUUGUUCAAACGUAACGUACUAGGUAUUUAUUUUAUAUCAACGAGUACGAUGGUCCAUAUAAGUAUUCUAAUCAUUCACUCCAGUUGCAGGCCCUAAUAAUUUAGAAGGGCUGAUGGUCUUUUUUUUUUUUUUUUUUUUUGGUUGAGAAAUUCUAUGAUUGCAUUCAUAAUUCAGCCAAAAAAGUCACUAGCCAAAAAAGGUUGUUACAAUAACAGAGCGGUCUAAUAUCAAAAUUAAGACAAUCUGGUAUGCCUCCACUAACAAUCAAGCGGGCCAAUGAUCUUUCAUUUGAUGAAAGCUUCUAUCUACCGACCCCGCUAUAUGAACUAUGCAAUGGUGAUGGUGUUACAUUGCUAAAAACAAAAAGUCAAGGUUUCUUAUUAAUGUUAAUGAAGGCAUAGCAAAAAAUUUGUAGCUCCAAUAGUUCAGAGCAGUUACCCAUGCACUUGAAAUUCUGUGUUUGAAUGCCCUCUCCCCUAAUAUUGCUUGUAUAAAAAUAAAAACUUCUAAAAAGACAUUAAUAUUGUAUUCUAUAUUCUAUAAAGUGUUGGACAUGUUUUACAUUGUUGACAACCCCUUAACAUUUUGGUGGUGCCUAGUUAUAUUCAAUUCGUAUGUAUUUAAUUUGCCACUUACAUUCUUUCCUUAAUACAUUUAGGCUUAUUUUUAUACUAAUUUCUCUAACAUAACUUUUGCACAUUCUUUUAGUCUCUAAUAUAUAUAUUUUUUAAUAAAUAAUCUUACCCACUUGAGUUAUAAACUAUUUUCUUUUAGCACAGAAAAUUGACAUUUUGACAAAGAGUUGAAAACCACUCCCCAAUUUUAAUGUCAACCACUUGAAAAAAAAAACAUAAAUUUAAUGAAAACAAUUACAUUUAGCAAUGCAACCUAAAAACUCAACCUUUGCCCCCCUUUCGCAACCCAGAUAGCAGGGUGAGGAUAUUCGGAUAAGAACCAAGACAGAAGCCAAAGGAACUGCGAUAGCCAACCAGAGGCUCCAUUUCUUACCAUCUGAACAACGCCACCAUUUUGUUUGGUAAGUAUUUAAUAACAUUUCUUGCUCUACAUAAAGUAAUAUUAAAACGAAAUUUGCCUAAAUUUUUCUUACCAGCAAUCCAUAUGGAAAAAGAAAAAAAGAAAAAAGAAAAAUACAAUUAUACUCAAUAUAGGAGCCCAAAUUAUUUAUAGUUAAAAAAUCCCUAUAUGAAAUGAACUUUAGAAACACACUCAAAACCUAUUUACAACAAAACAAAAAGACUUUUAACUUCUUUUAAAUUACAAAACUAUCAUUGAUUUCUUAAACAAACCCAACCCCAAAACCUCAUAAAUAAAAAAAGCUCAAAAUACUCAAUAAAACAUCAAAGUAAUUUAAUAAUUAAAAUUAAAUUCAAUAGGGACAUCUGUUAUUUUUUGGGUUUUUUUGUUUGUUUAUAGAAAUUAAAUGAUGUAGAAUCUAUCUAUAUUAUUAGUGCUAAGAAUGGAUAUGUGACUAUAUAACUCAAAAAAAAUUUAUAGUAAAUCUACAAUUUUUUUUUAAACAAAAAUCUAUAGAAUCUUUUAUUAGAUCAAUAAUCAAUAGUCACUACUAGAAAAUCUUCAUAUAAGCCACUAAUACACCCGUAACUUAUACAAAUGUGAGCUACUGACAAACCUGUAGCCAAAGAGUAUUGGCCACCUACCACACGACAGUGGUCCAAGCAUAAUGUUGUCAUUCAUUAUUCCCCACAGCAACCAGCAUCCAAUAAAGGGCUGGGCCCCACCCAUAUUCCACCUCUCUUUGUGAAUAUAAAAGAAAUAUUUUUUAUUCAACAUGGACGCAGAAACUGUUGCUAAACUGCAAACUUCUUAAAAUAUUUGUCUCACUUUCUAGAUCCAUGUACUGAGAUUUAUUAGGGAAAUAUUGUAGAAACUGAUUAUUUUGAAAUAUUAAAUGUGAAAAACUGAACAAAAAUUUGAUGGAUUACAUAUUUCAACUCAUUUCAGCAGCUUAGAUUUUGAAGACCUCUGAAGAGGCUAUGCAAUGAGCCUGGCUAUAGUACACUGUUGAUCACUUCAGUGUCUACCGAUCUGUAAUUUUUCCAGAUUGGUUAUAUUUUCCUUUACAUAUGUAUGCUUAUAUUAUUCCCAGCUGUAAGUGUUUUAGCAACAGGGUUACAAACUUCUUCUACAACACACCAACAUGAAUCUAGCCCUGAUCCACUCUUCACAUACUUGAAAACAAAACAAAACACGAAAAACAAAAAACAAGAUAGGGAGAAAAUGGCCUUGAUCAAUAACAGAGAUAAUAGAGUACACUGUUUAGGGUGAGUAUCAGAAGAAUAAUAGCCGCAAAGAGAGAAAUAGCUGCCCAAGGUGUGUUGAAAUACUUUUGUCUCAAAUUUGCCUUCCAUCUGUUCGUGGUCUUCUUGCAGUACUCGUUUAGUUUGCCAGCAAGAUCACCAAAAUAGUAGUUUUCGGAGCAACUUUACUGCAAAGCUUGUUAAUCAUAAUGGAAACCUGAUUGUUGUCACCUAGCGUGUUUACAACAAUUCCAUUGUCAACAAGCAACUCUACAUCCUUUGGGGUGUUUACAAAUUUAUCCAGGAUGAAAACAUAAUCGCUUAUGUAUUUAUCCACGCAAUGGCAUUGUUCAAAGGCAAUGAGAUUUCUAUGUGUAAGCUCUGUGUAAUCAUGUAUUUCAAUUUUUGGAAUUUCCAAGGUGUUUUUCUUGAACUGUAUAUCGAAUAAGUUCUUGCUUGAUCCCACGUUAAACUUAACUCCGGCCUGGUGUAGUUUUGUCAUGCUGGGUGUACUUUGGAGCCCUACAUUUUCUUUUAGGGUCGGAUCUGGCAGAUGUAAAGGUUUUUUAGGAUCAGGUGGCAUAAAAGACUUACGGAAGGCUGGUGAGUUCUCCAAGUUUUUUCUAAACGGAAGAACCUGUAAGAGAGUUCAAUUAUUGAAGGCUCCCCAGUCUGAGCAGCUGUGAGAUUGUAAAGAUCCUCGAGAAUGAAAAAUGGCAGCUGAUUUUCGAGCAUAAGCAUGUCAGGCAAUAUAUUUUGUGGCACCCAUGGUUUUUUAAAUAUCCAAGCAUUAUCAUCCUGCAAUUUUUCUUCCUGAAAUUUUUCUUCGGAUUUAUUCCUCAACAAUAGCUCAAUGACAAAGGCGGCGUCAACUAGAAUGAUAUUCACAAAAGCAGCAAUGUUAAAACUUCUUAGUGUCUUCAUAACAAUGACGGAGAUCACCUUCUCUCUCCUUUAUUUUCUCUAAAUAAUCCUUCAAUCCUACUACUUUAGUCCGAUUAAGAAAGCAUUUUAGGUACCUGAGUUUGUGAUCUUCCAUGGCUUCUAAGUUUUUGCUGGCAUGGUGAAGUGGGUCUAUUGAGACUACUUGUGGUGUGUAGGCCUUUUGUUUUACGUUCCGUAGUCGCUCAGGCACCCUGUAGAUCCAGCAGGCAGGGGACAGGGCACGCAAGUUUGUCAACCGAUUUUCCAUGGAAGUUGCUUGGUUUUCUAUGUCAAAAGAAGCUUCAUUGCUGCUUUCUUCCACUUUCUUCAUCCCCGUAUGUGUUGUUCUGAUUGUAAGUGACGAGGAUGGUGAUGAUUCUAGACACCAUAAUCAACAAAUGUUUCAAUCAUAAUUGACAUUUCAAGAUGCUCCGACAAAAAAUUAGAAAACAUUCAUCACACAAUGCGAACUCAUACAAUAGAUGGGUUGAGAAGAUCCACACAUUGCAAUCAUACAAUCCAAUUGCACAGGGAUUAGUCCCUAUUCUCCUCUCUCUCUCUCUCUCUCUCUCUCUCUCUCUCUCUCUCUCUCUCUCUCAAAAAGAUUUUCAUAUCGAUAACAUCUUAUUGCAAGGGACUGGUACAUCAAGUAGUGAAGAACAGAAAUUCAUAUUCUUUCAAUCAAAAUGUAUAAAUUUUGAAAAAGUUUGUUUUAUUUUUGGGGGAAAAAAAUCUGAACAUAUAUGUAUGUGCAUAUUAUACGUAGAUCUAAGGUGAAAACAGACCAGAUUUUUACUCCAUUUUUCAUGAGGUUUAAGUUCAUGAUGUAUAUAUUUAUCUCAAGUGUAACAUCUCACAUCGAUCAACGGAGAUGAGGUGAUGUGUCUUAUAUGUACAUGCUCGCCUCCAUCUAGCACAAGGCCUUUUGGGAGAUCACUGGCUUCGGAGUCAUAGGAACUCCGAAGUUAAGCGAGUUGGGGUUAGAGCAAUCCCAUAAUGGGUGACUCACUGGGAAGUUGCUCUUGAGUUCCCAAAAACAAAACUGUGAGGACAGAGAGGGGGGCCCAAAGCGGCCAAUAUUAUUCUACGGCAGAGCCGAUCCUGGGAUGUGACAAUUUGGUAUUAGAGCCACACUGCCGUGUGGUGCGAGUGUGCCGAAGAGGACGUUGGGCCCUUGAGGGGGGUGGAUUGUAACAUCUCACAUCGACCAACAGCGAGGGAGUGAUGUGCCUUAUAUGUACAUGCCCGCCUUCAUCUAGCACGAGGCCUUUUAGGAGCUCACUCACUUCGGAGCCAUAGGACCACCAUCCCAAGUUCAAUAUACAACCCAACAACCAUCUUAGCCAUCUUCUCAUUGAUCUUCCACCCAGCAUCCAACACUAUCUUCAUAAACUCUUUAGCUUAAUAUCUCUGUUGCUUUUGUUUUUUGUUUUUUUUAAUUUAAAUUUUUUAGUUUUUUUUUUUGGUUGGUGCAGAUUCAAUGAUAAAGAACAUCGAACUCGUCGCAACAUCCUGCCCUAGAUCCGAACUCUACCACCAUCACAACCCUCCCUCUCUCGAUCUCCAACCAACCUUAACACCCAACUUCAAAUCUUGGUUGUUUGAAACUCAGCCCCCUUCUCAAACCCCACCCUCUCUCUCUCUCUCUCUCUCUCUCUCUCUCAAAAUCAACAAGAUUUUCAUGUCAAUAAGAUAAGAUCUCAUUGCAAGUGACUUGUAGAUGAAGUGGGAAAGAACAAAAAGUCAUAUUCUUCCAAUCAAAACGUAUCAAGUCUAACAAAAUUUCUAGUUAGUUUGCUUUAUGAUAGUUGUUUUUUGAAGGGGUCCUUAGAUCCAAUCUCAAAAAGUUUGACUUUUAUUAUGUUUAACUCUGGUUUUUGCAAAUUUUUUUUUUUAUCUCUACCCACUAACUUUUAUCUCUCAUUUUUAUUACCCAUUUUACCCUUUAAAAUAAAUAUGGUAAUAAACUAAAAAUUCUGAUUCAAUGCAUGUUCAUAAGAGAAUUAAGGCCCCGUUUGGGAUUGCUUUUUUUCGUCAAAAACUUGUUUCACUUUAAAGUUAAGCAGUUUAAGGUGUUUGGUAAAAAUAAAAUAUCCUGAUUAUUUUAAAAGCAGUGGCCUUUUGACAGCUGCUUUUAAAAGCAGGUUCUGGGUUGCUUUUCAAAGCUGCUUUCAAAAGAAGCAAAGAUGAACUUUUAAUGAAUGUUUUUUAAUUCCCAAAAUACAAUCAUUCAUUUUAAAAAAUGACACCACCUCCACUUCCACAUCCAACUCCACCACUUGCACCACCACAUUCACUACCUCCACAACCACCGCCAUUACCACCACCACCACAUCCUUCUCCUCCUCAUCCUCCGCCACCACCACCAGAAGCAGAUCCAGAAAUUUUUCAGGAGAGGGGCAAUAAUGAUUUUGAUACUGCCCAAUUAAAAACAUAUUAUGAAAACCAGACCCUUAGUUAAUUUAAAGAUUAAUUAGCACGAUAAAAUAAAUACAUAAUUAAUAAUAAAAAUAUAUUAUCACAGUGAAAGAUUAGAUCAACAAACAAGUAGUAUCAAUCAAAUCCUAAUUAAACAAAAACUCUAAUAUCAAAGUGUGAUUUGAGAUCAUUGUGCAAGGACUCUUCUUCGUUGUUGUUUUUUAUUAUUUAAUUUUUUUGACAGAUGGGCUUCUUCAAAUUGGGAGCAUUGAGGUAAGCCUUUUGGUAUUACAUUAUUAUUAUUAUUAUAAUGAAAUAUUUAUUAUAACAACCAAGUAAUUGAAGCCAAACAAUGAAUCUUGAAACGGUUUGCACAAAAAACGAAGAGUUUGAAUUUUUGAAAAACACUUCAUUUAAACCAUUAAACAUAGAUCAAGGACGACGCCGUUUGUGACAAAUAAAAAUAGGGUUGUCUUCUUCAUUCGUGAACCAGAGCCUCCAUCAGGACACACCUCUACAACUCCUCCUCUACAACACAGUGUGUGCCUCAAUCGUGUAACUUGCCAUUUGCGAUUCAGGAGGCCUUAGAUCGUCGCACUCACGAGAUGCGCCUUGAUACACUUUUAAACGCUAGANNNNNNNNNNNNNNNNNNNNNNNNNNNNNNNNNNNNNNNNNNNNNNNNNNNNNNNNNNNNNNNNNNNNNNNNNNNNNNNNNNNNNNNNNNNNNNNNNNNNNNNNNNNNNNNNNNNNNNNNNNNNNNNNNNNNNNNNNNNNNNNNNNNNNNNNNNNNNNNNNNNNNNNNNNNNNNNNNNNNNNNNNNNNNNNNNNNNNNNNNNNNNNNNNNNNNNNNNNNNNNNNNNNNNNNNNNNNNNNNNNNNNNNNNNNNNNNNNNNNNNNNNNNNNNNNNNNNNNNNNNNNNNNNNNNNNNNNNNNNNNNNNNNNNNNNNNNNNNNNNNNNNNNNNNNNNNNNNNNNNNNNNNNNNNNNNNNNNNNNNNNNNNNNNNNNNNNNNNNNNNNNNNNNNNNNNNNNNNNNNNNNNNNNNNNNNNNNNNNNNNNNNNNNNNNNNNNNNNNNNNNNNNNNNNNNNNNNNNNNNNNNNNNNNNNNNNNNNNNNNNNNNNNNNNNNNNNNNNNNNNNNNNNNNNNNNNNNNNNNNNNNNNNNNNNNNNNNNNNNNNNNNNNNNNNNNNNNNNNNNNNNNNNNNNNNNNNNNNNNNNNNNNNNNNNNNNNNNNNNNNNNNNNNNNNNNNNNNNNNNNNNNNNNNNNNNNNNNNNNNNNNNNNNNNNNNNNNNNNNNNNNNNNNNNNNNNNNNNNNNNNNNNNNNNNNNNNNNNNNNNNNNNNNNNNNNNNNNNNNNNNNNNNNNNNNNNNNNNNNNNNNNNNNNNNNNNNNNNNNNNNNNNNNNNNNNNNNNNNNNNNNNNNNNNNNNNNNNNNNNNNNNNNNNNNNNNNNNNNNNNNNNNNNNNNNNNNNNNNNNNNNNNNNNNNNNNNNNNNNNNNNNNNNNNNNNNNNNNNNNNNNNNNNNNNNNNNNNNNNNNNNNNNNNNNNNNNNNNNNNNNNNNNNNNNNNNNNNNNNNNNNNNNNNNNNNNNNNNNNNNNNNNNNNNNNNNNNNNNNNNNNNNNNNNNNNNNNNNNNNNNNNNNNNNNNNNNNNNNNNNNNNNNNNNNNNNNNNNNNNNNNNNNNNNNNNNNNNNNNNNNNNNNNNNNNNNNNNNNNNNNNNNNNNNNNNNNNNNNNNNNNNNNNNNNNNNNNNNNNNNNNNNNNNNNNNNNNNNNNNNNNNNNNNNNNNNNNNNNNNNNNNNNNNNNNNNNNNNNNNNNNNNNNNNNNNNNNNNNNNNNNNNNNNNNNNNNNNNNNNNNNNNNNNNNNNNNNNNNNNNNNNNNNNNNNNNNNNNNNNNNNNNNNNNNNNNNNNNNNNNNNNNNNNNNNNNNNNNNNNNNNNNNNNNNNNNNNNNNNNNNNNNNNNNNNNNNNNNNNNNNNNNNNNNNNNNNNNNNNNNNNNNNNNNNNNNNNNNNNNNNNNNNNNNNNNNNNNNNNNNNNNNNNNNNNNNNNNNNNNNNNNNNNNNNNNNNNNNNNNNNNNNNNNNNNNNNNNNNNNNNNNNNNNNNNNNNNNNNNNNNNNNNNNNNNNNNNNNNNNNNNNNNNNNNNNNNNNNNNNNNNNNNNNNNNNNNNNNNNNNNNNNNNNNNNNNNNNNNNNNNNNNNNNNNNNNNNNNNNNNNNNNNNNNNNNNNNNNNNNNNNNNNNNNNNNNNNNNNNNNNNNNNNNNNNNNNNNNNNNNNNNNNNNNNNNNNNNNNNNNNNNNNNNNNNNNNNNNNNNNNNNNNNNNNNNNNNNNNNNNNNNNNNNNNNNNNNNNNNNNNNNNNNNNNNNNNNNNNNNNNNNNNNNNNNNNNNNNNNNNNNNNNNNNNNNNNNNNNNNNNNNNNNNNNNNNNNNNNNNNNNNNNNNNNNNNNNNNNNNNNNNNNNNNNNNNNNNNNNNNNNNNNNNNNNNNNNNNNNNNNNNNNNNNNUACAAACCACAACCACCAACUCCACGUUCAUCACCACCACUACCUCCACUCCACCACUACCAUUACUACUACCACAACAUGAUUAGUACAUAACACUUUUAACAUCAUGUCUAUUUUAGUCAUUAUUCACAUUUACAACAAUUUUAUAUUAAAAUUUACCAAACGGUUUUGACACUGCUUUUUGUACUAACAGCACUUUAAAAAUAUUGUUUAUCAAACAUGGAGUGCUUUACUUUACAGCUAAUUAUUUUCAAAGCACAGCAAAAGCAAAUUUUUUUAAAAGUGACAGCAAUCCUAAAAAUUCUAUACUCUAACACAAAAAAUAAAAACUAAAAACAAAAAUUAAAAUGGUUAUCAAACAUACACUUAUAUUACAAAGAAAAUAUCAAAUAUUGAACUCAUCAUAAGAGAACACAGAAAAACCUCACCGCUUGCAACUCGUACACCACCACUACACGAACAACUGCUAAUUAAAAUGAGUCACAUGUGGUACUUAACUCUAAAAACUUAUUCAGAUUAUAUAUCGUACUCCUCGAUCAAAACAACCAUGAAACAUAAGUGAUUUAAACCUCUAGGCAAAUGGAAGGUAUAUAACAAUUUAUAGAACAAUACAGUAAUCCAGAAGAAAUAUUAUGAAAUAAAAAGAAUAAAAAGUAAAAAAAGAGAAGGAAAGGAAUUCCCACCUGAUAUGUAUAAGUAUGAAAGGAAGGACCAAGUUUGUUUUGCCUUUGGUUAAUGACUAGAAAAGCUCACUUGCAUAUUGCUUUCUCCGGCCGUAGAUGCAAGAGAAAUUUUCUCUUAAUAAUAGCACAAUGAUCGGGUAAUUGUAAGAACAAGUUGAUUUUAAAUUCAGGUCAAGUCGUAGAUUUCUUGCCUUUUCUAUUCUCCUUCCUUGGACAUGAGCUGUUUAAUCUUGGACUCUUCCCCCAUCAUGUUGGGCCUGUCUUCUUCUUGAGGAUUGUAUAGGCCCAGGAAAUGCUUCAAGGUAGUUUUUGUGUUUUGGGCCUUGAGACCCAACUUCACAAAAAGAAAAUAGAUUUGACCAAAAAACAAAUUUGAAGGAUAUUGAAAUUGUACCUGUAGGAUAGGUUAAAACACCAUAAGGGAGGUAAAUAGUACGUUUACAGAAUUUAAGUGUAAUAAUUGAAUAAAAACAUGCCCAGAGGAUUGAUAAGUGAUAUCAAUUCUUGAAUAUACAGAACGUAAAAUAAAGGAACACGUAGAAAAUUAUUUUAUGUGGUAAAACUCUAUCUCUGGGGAACAUCCACGGGGCUUUUUAGUCCAAAAUAAUCCAUUAUAGAACGAUGAUUACAAGAAGUAUUCACACACUUAUCCUAGACACAUUCUAGAUUAUGUUUACUGACCUCUUCUCAACUUCUGUCUCGAGAUGAUCUUUCGACACUCCUUAUGUUGAACGCAAUACUGGUCACGAUUUCUUCAAGCUCCCUAGAGUUCUUCCAACUCUCCUUGUAUUGAAUCCGACACUAGUCACGAUCGAUUCAAGCUCAUUGGAGAAAAACUGCCACAACGGUCUUAGUGCCCUCAAUCGUAUGAGUCACUGAACAUGCAAAUGAAUACAAUAUAAAUGAUAAAAGUGUUUGAUAAAUCACCAAGUUAUAGAACACUUGAUGAUUUAUCUCAAAUAAAAAUUCAGCUUUACAAAGUUUAUGAUGAAUUGAAAAUAUGAUCGUUAAAGCUAUCUAAACAAAGAAGACGAAGGUCUUAUUUUAUAGAAUUUUUCUUUACAAGAAAGAAAACACGUUGAAAACCAAAUCUCCAAUUUUCAAGGCUUGACAGAAAAUCACAAAAGUAUCUUUCCUAUUCUAGAGAUUGGUCACAUGUAGUUCAACCAAUAGGAAAUGAGAUAUUCAAGAAAGCAAGAUUUUGAUCAAUAUCAAUAUCAGAUCAAUUCUUAUACGCCUAGUCAACUAUUAAGGGUAUCUUGACUCCUUGAUGUUGUGAUAUGAUUGAAACAUGAUUUCCAUGUUAGAAAAUUAAAGGGAUGUUAAAACAUGAAAGUAAUAGAGAAUCAAAUUGAUGUGGACCAAAAUUGCCUAAAAAGAAAACACUCCUAAAUAAACUUCAAUUCACUUUUAAAAAACAGUAAAACAUGAUUGAUCGUUCUUUAAAACAAUUCCCUAAAUAUACAUGCAUGAUAAUGAUAUCACUUACCCUUAAAUCAAAUUGUCACGCCCCGGACCCGAGGGUCGGGUGGAAACCUCACCGCCCAGUGCGUGAGAAAAUAAAAAGAAAAUAAAAUAAAAAGAAGCCGAACAGGGUUUAAAAUAAACUUCUCUUAUAAAAAUAACUCCAAUCUACAACUUUACAAGAAAUAACUAANNNNNNNNNNNNNNNNNNNNNNNNNNNNNNNNNNNNNNNNNNNNNNNNNNNNNNNNNNNNNNNNNNNNNNNNNNNNNNNNNNNNNNNNNNNNNNNNNNNNNNNNNNNNNNNNNNNNNNNNNNNNNNNNNNNNNNNNNNNNNNNNNNNNNNNNNNNNNNNNNNNNNNNNNNNNNNNNNNNNNNNNNNNNNNNNNNNNNNNNNNNNNNNNNNNNNNNNNNNNNNNNNNNNNNNNNNNNNNNNNNNNNNNNNNNNNNNNNNNNNNNNNNNNNNNNNNNNNNNNNNNNNNNNNNNNNNNNNNNNNNNNNNNNNNNNNNNNNNNNNNNNNNNNNNNNNNNNNNNNNNNNNNNNNNNNNNNNNNNNNNNNNNNNNNNNNNNNNNNNNNNNNNNNNNNNNNNNNNNNNNNNNNGAUUUCAAUUGGUAUUCAGAGCGUCAGCUCUUAAUACAAAUAGAGAGAUCCUAGGAUUUGUUUUGGUGUUUAGGUGUGCUCACUGUGGAACGGGAUCGAGUUGCUGGAUCUUGCAACUCCCCUCCUUAUUUUGAUGGAAACAACUACGCUGCUUGGAGAGAAAAAUUUGAGAUAUUCCUUGAUGCUCUUGAUGAGUACGCAAGUGAGUAUCUCACAAAAGAGUGGGUUGCUCCUGUCAAGACUGUUGAGAGUAAUGUUGUGCCCAAGCCUAGGUCGGAAUGGACUGAAGCUGAGGUGUUUGCUGCAUAUUCAAACAAGAAGGCCAGAAAUGCCUUAGUUACAGCCUUGUCUAGCACACAAUUUUCACAUAUACAACACAUCCUAAAUGCGAAACAGGCUUGGGAUAAACUAAGGGUGGUUCAUGAAGGGGAUGACCAAGUUAGAUCCCUAAAACUUCAGAUGAUGCCUGCACAAUUUGAAGAACUUAGGAUGUCUGAAACUGAGUCUAUUUCUGAGUUCUAUGGGAGAGUUGAGAUGAUCACUAAUGAAGCCAUGAGUCUCGGUCAACCUAUUGAUGAGCUUCUUGUUGUUCAGAAAAUCCUUCGUGUUCUACCAUCUAGGUUUAGAGCAAAGAAAACCGCAAUCAUGGAGGUCCAAAACUUAAAUGAAAUUAAGCUUGGCAAGCUCGUAGGAAAAUUGAAAACCUAUGAGAUGGAGUUGAAUAUGGAAAAGAAUGACACUAAAAAAUCAAAAAAUGUUGCACUUCAAGGAGUGAAUGAUUCCUCUCUGAAAGGUGGUGAAAAAUCCUCAGGUUUUGAGGAUGAGAUGGCUUUGUUUGUCAAAAAAUUUAGGAGAAUUCUUAGGGAUAAAGGAAAGUUUGCUAGAAAGGGCAGCUCUGGUAGUGAGAGACAAGUUAGACCAUCAACUGAUCAGUCUAAUGAGAGGAACAAGGAUGUCAAACCUUUCACUAAAGAUUUUAGAAAAUCUGUCAAGUGCUUCACAUGUGGAGGCAUUGGGCACUAUGCUGCCCAUUGUGCAAACAAUCAGAAAAAAUACUCCAAAGGAAAGGACAAGGCCAUAAAAGUUAGCUGGAGUGAGAGUGAAAGUGAAGUGUCUCAAGGGGAUUCAUUUUUCUCUGAUAAUGAUGACCAACAUGUUGCUUUUGUUGCCUCUGUGCAGUCAGUGUCUGAUAAAUCUGAUUCUGAGUCAGAUGACCUGUCAUACGAGUGAUUAGGAAGAAAAUAUGAUUGUUUGUUCAAAGAGACAUUGUCUUUGAAAGAAGAGAGCCUCAAACUUGAGGCCAACAACCAUGAACUUCAACAUGAAAUCCUCAUCUUAAAAGAAACCAAAAAGGAGUUGAGUGACAAAUUUGUGUCUCUAGAAAAAGAAUUUGUUGCACUUGUGUCAAUUAGGAGUAAUCUUGAAAAUCAAGUUAAUGUGCUCAAGGAAAGUAACAUUGGUUUCCAGAACUCAAACAAAUUGCUCCUAGGUAAAUUGAAUGAAGCAAAAAAGUAAGGUUAUAUCUAUGACCAUUGGUGCCUCAAAAAUUGACAAAAUGUUGACUAUGGGAAAACCUCAUGGGGACAAAGGUGGUCUUGGAUUUAAUCAUUUUGAUUCUAGUUCGUCUAGCUCUACCACUAGGUUUGUCAAUUCAAAAACUCCAACCAUGGCUUCUCUUGAUGCUCAGCCGGUAGUCAAGAAACCUAAGUUUGUUCCAACUUGUCACUGGUGUGGGUUGACUGGUCAUAUUCGAUCAAUCUGUCUUAUGUACAAAAAGGAUAAGACUAGAAAAUUGUCUUCAAAAUCUAAAAAUCCAAGAUCUUUGCAAGAUCAGGUUGAUCAUUUGCUAAAAGAAGUAACUAAGAUUGCAAAACUUGUCUCCCUUAAAAUGUGUUCACCUAUUGUGCCUAAGUCUACUUGGGUUGAAAAAGGUCAUACCAAAUGUCUUGUUGUGCUAAAUGCUUUUGCUGCAUCAAACACCAACUCUUGGUACUUUGAUAGUGGCUGUUCCAAACAUAUGUUUGGUGAUAAGAGUGUCUUCUCAUCUCUCAGUCCUUUUGAUGGAGGCACUGUGACUUUUGGUGGAGGUCACAAGUCUCAAGUUUUUGGAAAAGGUACUGUUUGUAUCCCUGGUUUACCCGAGCUUAAGAAUGUUAGAUGUGUUAAGGGUCUUACAUCCAAUCUCAUUAGUGUGAGUCAGCUGUGUGAUGAUGGAGUAAUAGAAGUUAGAUUCUCCAAGCAUGGGUGCAAAAUCGUUGGAAAAUGUGGCAAUGAGAUUGUGAGCGUGACUAGGUCUAGGGACAAUUGCUAUUGUAUUGAUGGUGUCAAUGAUGAAAAAGAAGUAGUUUGCAAUAAGGUUGUGAAUGAAACAAGUGUCUUGUGGCAUCAAAGGCUUGGACAUGUGAACUUUAGAGACUUGCAUAAAUUGUCCAAGAAAGAGUUAGUGAGUGGAUUACCAAAGCUUGACAAAUCUGAUCAACAUGUUUGUGAAGGAUGUCAAUUGGGGAAGCAAGUUAGAGUGUCUCAUAAGAAGGUCAAACACAUUCAAACACAAGUAAGCCUUGAACUUGUUCACAUGGACAUUGUUGGUCCUAUCCAAACCUUGUCCCUUGGUGGAAAGAAAUAUAUUCUUGUCAUGGUUAAUGAUUUCUCUAGGUUCACUUAAGUCUCAUUCUUACGUGAGAAAUCUGAAACUUUUCUAAGGUUUAAGUCUGUUUGUCAUCUUUUGCAAAAAGAAAAGAUGACUAGUCAUCUGCCUCUUGUUAGAAUUAGAACAGAUCAUGGUUCUGAGUUUGAGAAUUCUCAGUUUCUGAAAUUUUGUGAAGAAAUGGGAAUUAAGCAUGAGUUCUCUGCACCUAUUACACCUCAACAAAAUGGUGUUGUGGAGAGAAAGAAUAGAGUUCUUGUUGAGAUGGCUCGGGUGAUGCUCAAUAGCAACAAUCUUGCUAAACAUUUUUGGGCUGAAGCUGUAAGUACAGCUUGUUAUAUCUCAAACAGGGUAUUUUUGAGGUCUGGUACCAAACAAACUCCCUAUGAGAUUUGAAAAGGAAAGAAGCCUAAUGUGUCAUAUUUUAGAGUCUUUGGUAGCACAUGCUAUAUUUUGAAAGAUAGGGAGCAUCUUCCUAAGUUUGAUUCUAAGUGUGAUAAGGGAAUAUUUCUAGGGUGUUCCACUUUAAGCCGAGCUUAUAGAGUGUACAACUGUAGGACCAGAACCAUCAUUGAGUCCAUAAAUGUCAAAAUUGAUGAUUUUGCUGCCUCUACUGAGAUGGCAUUAGAUGAGAAUGGUCUUUUUUCUCCUCAUCUCGUGCAAGAAUCUCUAGGUCUGGAUCUUGUAGUUGACCUGUCAACUUUCGGAAAUUUUGUCCCAGUUGACCUGUCAACUCCUUCAACCUCUAGUUCCAUCUCAUCUAUCCAAGUUGUCAGCUCCCAUGCUGAUCAUAGCCCUCUCACUCAAACUGAGAGUGUCAUUAUUGGUCCUCUUAAUCAGGGAGUGAGAACUAGGAAAUAAUUAGCUCAAGAAAUUAGUCAUGUGUGUUAUGUCUCAAAAGAAGAACCUAAGAAUGUGAAAGAGGCGUUGAACCAUGGUGAAUGGUUUCUUGCAAUGCAAGAAGAGCUGAAUCAGUUUGUUAGAAAUGAUGUUUGGUACCUUGUUCCCAGACCUACCAAUACAAAUGUUGUAGGUACUAAGUGGAUUUUCAAGAACAAAACUGAUGAGCAAGGUAAUGUUGUUAGAAACAAAGCUAGAUUAGUUGCUCAAGGUUACACUCAAAUGGAAGACAUUGACUUUGAUGAAACUUUUGCCCCUGUUGCAAGACUAGAAUCAGUUAGAUUACUUCUUGCUAUUGUUUGUCACUUAAAAUUCAAACUUUAUCAAAUGGAUGUCAAAACUGCUUUUUUGAAUGGUAUUUUAAAUGAAGAGGUCUAUGUUGAACAACCAAAGGGUUUUGAAGAUCCACAUCAUCCAAAUGAUGUGUUUCAGUUAAAAAAGGCACUCUAUGGUUUGAAACAAGCUCCUAGAGCAUGGUAUGAGAGGUUAUCUUCUCAUCUUCUAAGAAAUGACUAUGUUAGAGGGUCAAUUGACAAAACUUUGUUUGUCAAAAGGUUCAAAAAUGAUGUCUUGAUUGCUCAAGUGUAUGUUGAUGAUAUUAUGGUUGGUUCUACCUCUGACUUGCAUGUUCAAGAGUUUAUUCAUGUCAUGACUAGUGAAUUUGAGAUGAGUCUUGUAGGUGAGCUUAACUAUUUCUUAGGUCUUCAAAUCAAACAAAGCCAUGAUGGGAUCUUUGUAUCUCAAUCGAAAUAUGCAAAAAAUCUUGUGGAAAAGUUUGGUUUUGAGGAUGCAAAAUCUGCAAGAACUCCAAUGAGCACUAGUGCUAAAAUUCAUAGAGACUUGCAUGGCAAAAGUGUGGAUCAAACUCUCUAUAGAAGUAUGAUAGGAAGUCUUCUCUACUUGACUGCUAGUAGACCAGAUAUUUCUUAUAGUGUUGGAGUGUGUGCUCGGUUUCAAAGUGACCCAAAAGAGUCUCACUUGUUUGCUGUUAAGAGAAUCAUAAAAUAUGUGAGUGGGACUGUUGAGUUUGGGUUGUGGUAUACCUAUGACACUUGUGUCAGUCUGGUUGGUUAUAGUGAUGCCGAUUGGGCAGGUUGUAGAAACCCCUCCCGGGGGGGGGGGGGGGGGGGUCUUUUAUGUAGGCAACAACCUUGUUGCUUGGCAUAGCAAAAAACAAAAUUCUGUCUCCUUAUCCACUACUGAAGCAGAGGAUGUUGCAGCUGGGAGUUGCUGCACUCAACUCCUUUGGAUGAGACAAAUGUUGGAAGCUAUGGUCUUGCUCAAUCAUGCUUUCUCAUCUAUUGUGACAACAUGAGUGCCAUAGACAUUUCUAAAAAUCCUGUUCAACACUCUAGGACUAAGCAUAUAGACAUUAGGCAUCAUUUUAUUAGAGAUCUUGUGGAAGAUAAAAUUCUAUCUUUGGAAUUUGUUCCCUUUGAGAAACAGCUAGCAGAUAUACUCACCAAGGCCUUGGACUUUCAGAAACAUGUCACACUUAGGCAGUCCAUUGGCCUUUGCUCAAUUGAUUGAUUAGCUUGUCUGUUCCUUAUCUUCAGCACAUUGCAGAAUUGUUGACUAGUCAUCUUCGUUUUAGUUGACUAGUCAAAUAUUUUUUUGGUGUGUAAAUGUCUAAAACAUAUGCUUCUUCUGAUCUCUGGUGGUAUGAAGUUUGAAUCAUUUUAUGCUUUGCCUGAUUUGUGGAUAAUUCCCCCCUUCUUGUUUGGAGCCAUUAGAUGAAAUCUUUUGGUGUUCUUUCGUCCUCUUGUUGAGACAAGUGUUGUGAUCCAUUAUGGACAAUCAUUGUUAUAAUCUCCUAUCUUUUCUCACUCUCUUAGGCAAUUUGUUUAGCAUUAAACAAAAAAUAAAAAAUAAACAAAAAAUAAAAAAAAUAAAAAAAAGUGUGACCAAUGUAGUCACGACUCUAGGAAGGUAUAAGGUGUUAUGAUUGAAGAAUCUAGAGCAAGAGCCGCAAAAUUGGGCCACUCAAGCACUUAAGUCUAGGAUGUGCAAAUAACAAGGAUAAUAAAUGGCCAGAUUGAGUGAUGAAAAUCAAAUAGGUUGGGUUUAUGCCUUGAGUUUGUCUUGAAGGUUUAUUAUAUACUUGUCUCUCCAAGAGGGGUAUUUCUUCUUCUCUUGUGUUCUUCUUUUGGCUCUGAACCUCCUCUGUCCAUUUUGCCUUAUCUCUGAGCAUGAAAUCUAAUUCAUAUUCUAUCUAUCAGAGUUAGUUGCACUUGUUUUUGUUUGCACAUGUGGUUAUCUUCUCUCUCUCUUCCUUCCUGUGCUUGAAGAUUUGGACUAGGCUAUAGUAGCUAAUAGAUCGUUGAUCACUUGAUAUAUUUGCUAGUUCAUGUUUGUGUUUUUUUUUUAAAAACCCACAAUCUUGUCUUCCACAGGGUCGAUACUAACUUUGAUGCGUGUCAUGAUAUUGCCUUAGUUGACUAGUCAUCUAUGCUUAUGGUUGACUAGUCAUCCGGUUGUGUUAUAUUUGAUGCCCGUCAUGUUAUUGCCUUAGUUGACUAGUCAUCAUUUUUGUGGUUGACUAGUCAUCUAGUUCUGCCUGUUUUUGUUAUUGCCUUGGUUGACUAGUCAUCAUGCUCAUUGUGGUUGACUAGUCAUCAGGUUUUUCUCCUGAACAAUACGUCCUUUUCUUUAGCGGUUAUUCUUAUUAUUUUAUUUUUUUUUCAUUUUUUUUUCUUCUCUUUUUUGUGUUUUGAGCGGUUCUUUUUCAUUGGGGUCAGUUUUCGCAUUUUUUCCUUUUUAGGUCUGUUUCCCUCUUCUUCGUUAGAGUCUACUUUCACUCCCGUUCUCUCUCUGUUCUCUUCAGACACAAACCCAGGCCCCCGCUUCCCUUUCUCCCUCUGUGUUAGUCUCUUCGCCCCUUCUUCCCUCUGUUUUUCUCUUCCAAUUUCUUCCCGCUGACCACCAUGUCGUCCUCCGCGCCCUUCCUCACUUACCAGCGCCGCUCCAAAUCCAAAUCCAAUGACAGAGUGGAUUUUAUACCCUCCAUUCCUAGGGCUCCUAGGACUCGCUCUUCUCACUCUGUUCCCGCUGGAGACUCCUCCCCGUUUGUGUCUCCUGAGGCAGCCUCGUUCUUCGAUGGUGUUGUCUCUAAAAGGAAGUUUGUGCCUGAGAGAGCUUACCAAAUUGAUGCUCCCCCCUUAGCGGCCCAGGGUUCUGCAACUCAGAUUUUUGAGCACUGCCAUCUCCAUUCUCUCAACACUCUGUCUGGUAAGUUCAAUGCUUCUGUCGUUAAAGAGUUUUACUCGAAUUUUCCUGCUGAUCCUAAGGGGUCUAAUUAUCAGUGUGUUGUUCGUUAUGUGCCCAUUACUCUGAGACCCUCUGUCAUUAAUAGGGUUUUAGGUUUUCGGUCUUGCCCUGGUUUUGAUUCUGAUCAGUUUGCUCUUGCCUCUUCUCAAUACACUAUUGAUCUAUUUAAAACCAUGGCCUAUACUGAUCAAACAAUGCCCCUGACUUCUAAAGGUGUUCCUAUGAAGUCUUAUCUGUCACCAUUCUACAAAUUUCUAUGGGAUUUUAUCUGUCACAAUGUUCUCCCAACUAGAAAUAAUUCAAACCCCACUUUGGCUGGCUGUCAACUCAUGAUUUCAAUGGUGAAUCAUGAUAAAAUUCCCUUUGGGGAUAUUCUUUAUCAUGCAAUUCUUGGCAAAACCAUAGGUCAUGGUACAAAACACAAAGGGACUCUUGUCUUCCCAUGUCUUAUCCAGCGUCUCUGUGAGAGAAACCAGGUGGUUUUUCUUGACUCUGAUCAGUGCACUCCUCCUAUUGCUCCAUUUGGCAAGGCUUUUGUUGCCCUUAGCCAAAAAGUUUCAAAAACUUUUCUCACCUCUGUGUCAUCUACUUAUGAAAAUGACUAUCUUAGAUCUCAGCUUGCUACCAAGGAGAAACAUAUUCAACAUCUGUUAAGCCUCAUUCCAUCCUCUUUGGUUCCUGCUGCUGCUGCUGCUGAAGUACAUCCUCAGCCGACUCCUGCCACGGAGGUCUCAGAUGAUUCUGUAGAUUCUGAUGAGUCUGCUGAUUCUCUUGUUUUUUAGCUACAGUGAUCUUGUAGGCAAUGUCCUAGAUAGGGGGAGUAUUUUUGGACAAGUAUAUGUUUGUAAUUCCCUUGUGGAAAUUUGUUUUUGCUUGGGUAGUCUGUGCAUCUUGAUAGGGGGAGUUGUGUUGUAUUAUUUUGAACAAGUGAUUUUUGCUUUGUAAUCAACCUAUGCUAUGUGUUUUUCACUUUGUUCAAAUCUGAUUAUCUGCCUUGUGUUUCAUCCCCUUGUAUGCUGACUCUCUCUCCUUGCACUUUCCUUAUCAACAAGGAGGAGAACACUCUCAACCCCCAUAUUGCAUAUUGUUUCAAAAUUCUGUGAUAUAAUAUGCCUGUUUUUGUGCCUGGAAGAUUGGUUGUUCUUGCAGGUAUCCUCACUUCAUCAUCUCCUUAGGCUUGGUUUUGGGUUGAGUGUUGUUAGAGAGUGUGUUGUCAAGGAAAGCCAAAAAGGGAGAGAUUGUUAAUGUAUGCAUUUUGGGUUUUUCUUUUGGCUUCCCUUGACAACUUUGUAAUAGGAUCUCUAUUGUUAUUUAUCAAGCUCAAGUUUAGAUUGAGAAUAGCUUCUCUAGGUGUUCUUAACUAACAACUAUCAUAUGGAGGUUCAUGCAAAUUGGCAAAGGUAAAUUGUGCAUUGCAUAACAUUGCAUUAUACUGUUUUCAUAAAAUGAUGACUAGUCAUAUGUUUCUUGGAUGACUCGUCAUCCUUGCUCUCCAGCUUGAUAACCAACUUUUUUGUCCUAUUCCUUUUUCUCUCUCUGCUGCCACAUGGGAUUCUGACCUAAGGGUAUUUUUUGGUCUGUAUAGGCCUUGCGAUUCCUCUUUUGGCAAGCCGUCUCUUUUGUGUAGAAUUGGAGGAAAGAUUGGUUUUCUAUAUUUCCGUUCUUCUUCCACAAGAAAGAACAAUAUUUCAUCUAUGAGUUUUUCCAAAUUGAUUUCUUUAUGAAAAAACUGCAUUUGAAAUAUGAAUUUGCAUCUAGCUUCAUAAAAACAUUCUCUCAUUUAUAUCUAGGUCAGAUUCACUACUGAUUUCUUCAAGAGUAUGGUUUCUUGAAGAAAUUGGUUAUUCUCCCUUGAAUCCAAAUUUUGGUUUCUGUUUGAGUUGAGCUUGCAAGCUGGUGCCAUGGGAUGAAUGACUGAAGAAGGAGCUGCCAUUGCCAUGAAGAACUGGGCUUCAAGCUUUGCUAAGUUAGAGAAGAAGAUUGCACAAAGGAGGUAUUGCUCAUCUUCCUAAAUAGAUCUAGGUUUUGCUUGAGCUUGCUUGUGUUCCUUUGUAAGAAUCUUUUUCUACUUAGUUGAUUGCCUGGUCGGUUGAUGACCCCCAGUUUUUUCCCAAUGGUGGGUUUCUGGGUGAACAAUUUCUGAUUGCAUUCUUGUAAUUUUUCUGGGUUUGUGUUCUUGGUGGUCGACUAGUCAUCGUAUGAAUUAUGGUUGACUAGUCAUCAUUAUCUGCUGUUUGGUGUUUGCUUGAUUAUGCUGUCUUCACACGUUUUCACCAUAGUUGUUGCUAGCACAGGGGAUGCCUAGAUUGAUGGGUCUUUCUGAGUGCCUAGGUUGUCACUAGUAAUUCUCUAGGCCUGCAGGUACAUCAUGGUAUGUUCUAUGUAUGUUGUUGUUUGGUAUAAUUCAUAUCUGACAGUUGACUAGUCAUAAGAGUGUGUGAAGUUUGUUGCAUUUUUGGCUGAAUAUCUUUUAAGUUUACCCAUCGUCACCUAAGUACCGAUUUCAACAUGAGACCUUGCCACAGUAGAUUGAUAUAACUAAAUAUUAUCAUAAACAUAGAAAUAUAUAAGUAUUAUUAUAAUAGGAUUCAUAAUAAUUAAUAUAAAAGUAUAACAACAACAUUUACAAUUAUGUACCAAGAUAAUUACACAUAAAAAUAUAACCAAUAUAUAUUUAUAUAUAUUUUUUAAAAUACGGAUCUUUACGUAAAUGCCUUUCACGGGUCAAGCCACAAGUCUGUGUUUUGGGGAUUGCAGAGCUGCAUCAAUCUUGCCAAUGUCAAUUCUGACCCUGGGCUCUCUCAAAGCACGUUUAAAACCUAUGCUAACAUAUACUAGAGUUUAUGCUGUAUCUAGAAAAUGCCAACACUAAUUUCGUAACACAUAGAAUUGUUAGAGAUUAGAAGUUUUUAUCAUUUUUUCUUCCAGUCUCUCCACCACUCACUAAUACAGAUUACUCAUGUGAUGAGUUUACAAAACCUAUUUCUCUACUCUCGCAAAGACUAUACUUCUUCUCAAAAGACUAGAUCACUUUACCUCUAUCUCUGUGAAAUGUAAAAAGUUGAAACUUUAAUGUCAAACCUCGACAAAGUGUUCUACUUACAAACUUCUUGUGUCUACCAAUUUCUACAAAAAUUAAUUUCUCUACGGUGCUCAGAUUCAUCAUAUGUGUGUCCUUAAUUUUAGUGGAAAUUGGAAGUUUCCAUAAUUUUUGCUUUAAGUCACUCUUUUGAAGGAAGUUGAGAUUCCACUCCAUAAUCCAAAAUGUCAGGUUGACUUAUGGCAAACAAUGUAAAUAUGUAGGAGUACUAUGACCUUUUAUAGCAUUUUAAGUUUGAAUUUGGGUUUUAUACAUAGAUUUCGAAAUUAAUAGGUUGAUGCCUAGGAAAUAGAAAUUGUAAGGGCCUAUAUUAGACUAGCCCUCUUAAAAAAUAUAUUAAUUAAUGAAUAUUUGUUCUUCUUCUUGUUUUGAAGUAGUGGUGGGAGGCAGACCAACAACAAAAAUAUAGUGAAGGCUUAUAAGAGCAUUUACAAUUAUGCUCCCUAUUUUUUAGUUAAUAUUUAGGUAAAAAUAGAAAAAAGUUAUUAUAUGAGCUCUUUAUAAAAUUUGAACUCCAAUCAUACUCCCUAGUUUAGGGAGUCAAAAAUACUAUAGUUAUUUUUUAAUUCAAAUUGAUUUUGGUUAAUCUCUAUAAAUAAAUAAAAAUAUAAAAAAUAGUUAGCAUUAAUUAAAAGUUUAAACUAUGCAUAAAACAAAGAAACAUUAAAUUAUAGGGAGCCACUAUGAGUCAUUACUCUCUCUUCAGAUUUAGGAGCUCCUAGAGGUCUCCCUAUUUUAUGAGGUGGAUAAAGAGCAUGGUUGGAGUUGUAUUUCUUCAAUUUCCUCUCUAAAAUUUGUCUAAGGAUGUGGUUUAGGGAGCCCAUUGUGAAUGCUCUAACUCUGGUAAAACACGAGUGACAUGGACAACAUAUGUUACAUCGUACUGAAGAUUUUUGGGUUUCUUUAAUUGGUUAAGUAGCAUCCACAAUGAGCUUUCUAAAUCAUCUCCUUAGACAAAUUUUAGGGAGGAAUUGGAAAAGUACAACUCCAACUAUGCUCCCUAUCCACCAACUAAAAUAGAGAGACCUUUAGGAGCUCAUAAAUCUGAUGAGAGAGAAAGAACUCUUAAUGACCCCCUAUAAUUUAAUGUUGCUUUAUUUUAUGCAUAUUUUGAACUUUUAAUUAAAUCAAAUUAUUAUUUUUAUAUUAUUUUGAAUACAGCCGGAUCAAUUAUAUUAAAUUAAAAAAUAAUUAAAAUAUUUAUAACUCUCUAAACUAGAAAGCAUGAUUGUAGAUCAUCUUAUAUACCUUAAUUUGAAGAUUCUUUAUUUGGGUUUCUUUCAAGACUUAUCACCUUAGCCACACCACCUACACGUCUGCAAGCUUCCGUAAUCUAACAAGGAAGGGGAGGCUGCGCAAUACUUAUCACCUUAGCCACACCACCUACACCACAAGACCAAUAUGUGUAGUCCAGCAGGCUUUCCAAUUUUAAUAUAUAUUAUAAAAUAAAAUAAAAAUCAAUCUAUUAUCAUAUAUAUUAUAAAAUAAAGAUUAUUGCUCCAUCCUCCAUGCACUUGCAUGCCCUCUUACAAAGUGUGAAGUAGAUUUUGUGUGCUCCAAGUCAUUGACGAGAGCUGUAACAUGGUUAGCUGGAUUUAUAAGAUCUUUUCUUUUCUGGGAAUUUUCUGAAUUAAGAAAAAUCAAGUAAAAUUAAUAAAGCAUAAAUUAGAAAGGGAAAAUAUCUAGAGGAUGCAUUGUAGGAUUGCACAUGCCAAUAAUUGUAUCCUCUAAAUAUAUAGCGACACAUUUUUUUUGUUUUCAUGACUUGUGGUCCUAAAAUUAUUGUUCCUAGCGGGCUUUUCACCCUCUCUCGAUUGAAAAUCAAUUGUGUAAAUCUUCAAUCUUGAAUGAUGCACCUAAAACUCAAGUGUCCCAGGCCAAUUAUUGCUCUCAUACCACUUGUUGUAAUAAACAUUCACCCAUUCUAAAGGAAAGAUAACCAUCGAUAUUAUCUGAAAUUUAACCACUUAAGUUCAUUAUGAUUAACUAUGUAUCUUAUGGACCAAUCCAAUCGUAAGGUUUUAUACUCAAUUAGAUCGACCAAUACAAAGUUCACACUGGAUUAAAAAGGGCUAUCGGUAGGGGAGUGUUCGGCACCCUUUACUGUGGAGCGCAACACAAGACCCCUUGCAUGCCCUCACUAAGUUGAGCCCAACUAUUUUUGAGCAUUAACAAUAUAUAUAGAUUGAAAAAAUAAAAUAAAAAUCAAUCUAUUAUCAUAUAUAUUAUAAAAUACAUAUUAUUGCUCCAUCCUCCAUACACUUGCAUGCCCUCUUACAAAGUGUGAAGUAGAUUUUUUGUGCUCCAACUCAUUGACUAGGGCUGAAACAUGGUUAGUUGGAUUUAUAAGAUCUUUUGUUUUUUGGGAAUUUUCUGAAGCACGGAAAAUCAAAUAAAAUUAAUAAAGCAGAAACUGUACCCUUUAAUUAUAUAUGGACAUAUGUUUUUUUGUUUUCAAGUCUUAGAUGACAUGGGGACCCCUCUCAAAUUUAAGUGGUCCAUUAUUGUUAACCACAUAUUUUAUGGACCAUCCAGCUUCGGUACAUUUCUCCCACAUGCCACAAUUGUAUAUUCACAAUUACGUCUGAUACAUCACAUCAUGCCACUUGCCUCACAUGCCACAAUUGUAUAUUCACAAUUACUUCUGGGUACCCCUCAUCAGUCGUCUAUAAAAUGGUGAAGCCAGUUGCUACUGUUACCAUAAGAGCCAGCUCCGACUUUCUUUAAUUUCUUGCUACAUCUGUUGCUAAGUUAAUUUCAGUCCUAAUGGGGUUUCAUCUCCCACUCAUCUUUGCUAUUCUCAGUGUAAGCUCUGCAAUUUGAUUAACUUUUCCAUUCUCUCUCAUUGUACUCUAUAUAUAUAAAUGAAAGUUUUGUGUUCCUAUAAUUCUCUCCGAUUUUAUUUAGUACGUACUUAAGUGUCGUCCACUAAUUAAUUACACUUUGUGAGAUUUGAUUUUAAUUAGAGUUCGAAUUAAUGUUGCAGCUAGCAGCGGUUGCACUGGCAAACAAUGCUGCUCAACCAGCACCUCAACUUUACUGGAACUCCGUCCUGCCAAACACACAGAUGCCAAGAUCUAUCAGUGAACUUCUGCAUCCUGGUUUGUGUUCAGCUCUUUAUAAUCUUAGAUAUCUCUUCUACCUGCCAUUUUACUAAACUAUGUUCGACCACAUAUUUAUCAGUUAACUACUGUCAUUACAAGAAUGACACUUAUUUUCCAAUAUAAUUUGCAGACUCCACAAAUGAAGAAAAGAGCAAACCUGAAAUUUUCCCAUUGCAGGGCAAUAGAGUUUACACUCAAAGCCAUUAUAAAAAACGUCCUCCUCCUCCAUCUGACGAGGGCAAACCUGAAAAUUUCCCAUUGGCCAAUAGCUUUUACACUCAAACCCAUUAUAAAAAACGUCCUCCUCCUCCAUCUGACGAGGGCAAACCUGAAAAUUUCCCAUUGGGCAAUAGCCAUUAUUCUCAAACAGGGUAUGCAAAAGGUCCUCCUCCUCCUCCUAAAAUUUUCCCAUUUUCAGGUUACAGUCGAAAAAGGUAUGGAGGAAGUCCUCCUCCUCCUUCUCCAUUCGUUCAAAAAGACUAUGGACAGAACGAUAAACAUUACGUUCAAAAAAACUAUGGAAAAGUUCCUCCUCCACCUGACAAUCAACUACUCCAUUAUAAAGACUUGGCUAUUUUCUUCUUCGAGAAGGACAUGCGCCCUGGCGCAACAAUGAAGUUCCAAUUCCCUAGAAAUUCAAACACGGCUACUUUCCUGCCACGCGAAAGUGCUCAAUCGAUCCCCUUCUCCUCUAAGAAACUACCAGAAAUUUUCAACCAUUUUUCAGUGAAGCCAACAUCUGAGGAAGCCAAAACAAUUAAGCAAACAAUCGAAGAGUGUGAAGCUCCAGGCCUUAAGGGAGAGGAAAAAUAUUGCGCCACAUCUUUAGAAUCAAUGGUUGAUUUUAGCACUUCGAAGCUUGGAACAAGAAACGUUGAAGCAAUCUCAACGGAGGUAUUGGAAGAAGGAGCCACCAAGUACAUGCACAACUAUACAACAAUGCCGGGACUGAAGAAGUUGGAAGGUGACAAAGUCGUUGUGUGUCAUAAGGAGAACUAUCCCUAUGCUGUGUUUUUCUGCCAUGCAAUAAAACAAACAGCAGCUUAUGUUCUCUCCCUGAAAGCCGAUGAUGGGAUGAAGGUGAAAGCAGUAAC
rnacentral:lncRNA from 1 species